UUUUUUUUUUGAUGUUUGGUCAUCCAUGAUGAGAAAUUGUCUGAUGUAGUAGAAGCACUAUGUUUUACCACUGUUAAAUGAGGAAAACUAUGCUCUGAGUAUUAGCAUUGCAUCUCUAGUCUCUUCACACAGCAUACAUUCUGAUUAGUACAGAAAACGAGUUUGCCUCUAUGAAUGAGACAUGCGUUUAGAUUAAGAAUUUCAAUCAUAUGUGUUGAUGUUUGGUCAUCCACUGCUUAGCAAUUGCCAGAUGUAGUUCAGCAACAUGGCGCGCAGUUUCUUUUCUGAUCAGGAGGGACAAUCCAUUAGUAACAAUGUAUUCAGUAAACUAGCUUUCUUAUUGAACUUUAUGACUCUUCAGCUUCUUGUUUUGUGCUUCUAUUGAAAUGUACAAUGCAUCCGCGCUUGUCAACUUUUGCUAAACUGUUUCCCAUCUUUUUUCCCCGACAGAGAUUGGGCUAGGCUUGACUGGAUUUGGAGUUCUCUUCUCAUUCCUUGGGAUCAUUAUGCUGUUUGACAAGGGAUUCCUGGCAAUGGGGAAUGUAAGAAUAAUUCAUCCUGUUGAUGGAUUCUGCCUUCAUUCCAGCCUCCUGUUUACUGAUACGUACUGCUGUUUGCCAUGCUGCCAGAUUCUCUUCGUUUCUGGCGUCUUACUGACCAUUGGGCUGAAGCCAACCGUGCAAUUCUUCACCAAGCCUAAGAAUCACAAGGUCCUGAUAAUGAUAUCAUCACUGCGAAAAGCAUGCCGUUUCAGUUCCAUUUCCAUUCUUGUCUCACUGGUGUAUCUUAUUAAUUGUGCAGGGUUCAAUCUCUUUCGGGUUUGGCUUUUUCCUGGUCCUCAUUGGAUGGCCUGCCUUAGGAAUGAUGGUGGAGUCAUACGGUUUCAUCAUGCUCUUCAGGUUGGUAAUUUCUUUACAGUUAUUCUUGUAUAAUUUGCGUGGCUUCUGGCACCUGGCAGUGCAUUUUUCUGUCAGCAUAUGGACUAGAAACAUUUGGUCAUUGUGUCUGACACCUUCUGAAUUUCCUCUCAGCGGUUUCUGGCCAACUGCUGCUGUUUACCUGCAAAAGAGUCCUUCCUUCGGUUGGAUAUUCCACCAUCCCUUUUUGACUUCGGUAUGAUCUUCAUAUAGUACAGCACUACAGCUCAUUAAUCCGUCAGCUCAGCUGCCUUGUUCUCCAGGUGUUUUCCCCCCUUUAUCGCUGAUGUUUCCUGCCUGUCCGAAUUUUGCAGCUGAUCACUCGGUUCAGGGGAAGACGGGUCCCGGUGUGAUUCGGCUGGCUGCUGGAUCGUCCCCAAAGCAUAUCAAAUCGCCUGUACAGAAGUAGACCGAUCGACAUAUGCAUUCUGUUCGUUUGUUAUUCGUUGAUUCUACCCAGUUUAAAGAGAGACGAAAAGGAAGUCGUUGCUGCUGGUAUGUGGAUCUUACUACGCUGCUGCCAGUAGUCUGUCUCAACAAAGGGUAACUAAUCAGUCUUUCUGCAAGAAGGCAUUUCUUGGCUGUUAAUAAGUAGGUUGAUAGAUGAUGGUGAUAGCUUUGGUACUACCUCUUUUCUGAAUGCCGAUGACUAGGCAGGAGUUGUGAACUGGUUUGGGAAAACCAGCCGUCCUGUGAGAAAGUCAUGCUACUCCUAUGUUUUUGCUAAACAUGACUUCUUGUGAAUCUGUGUACCUGUGUCCGGUCGAGUAUAACCUUGCAUUCUCAUCAUUUCGUUUUCUCUGUGUGUCUGUCUCAUACUGCACUGUUGCCCGAUGUAGUGUUCACUGUACAGCAUGUUGCCUGGACGCAGCCCAGUGUUGUUGGGAAGCCCUUUUUGAGUUGAAGGUUCAGUUCCAAGUUCAGAAAGUUCUAAAUCCAAUCCUAAUUCCCAAAUCUAAAAAUUCAGUUCCUCAACUUGCACGUUCUCUCUAUAGAUGAAAGUUAAUUGCAAUCCCACAAGGUUCCCCACCUGAUUCUAGCUCCCAGUCCCAGACUGAGAAUUGUGCUGACGGUCCCAAUCCCCAAAACCAUGUCCCCAAUUGAAAUCAGUGCACGUUUUGUAUUCAAAUCGAUUUUUUUAGAAUUAAUUGUGAAGUCCAGAAGGGUGGCUAGCAAAGUGUCCACCCCUCCCGGGAAGGCUGCAGGCUGCAGCGCACAAUUUUCAGCUAGCAAUGCACAACGUGAGCAUCCAAUCCAAACCCUCUGCAUCAUCUAAAAAAAAUCACGGCUUCAAAUCAUCGACGCCAUAAACAGCGUGAGAAAAUAAAAACUUGUUUCCAAACUUCCCUGGAUAGAUCGGUUGUGCGUAAAAAGGAAACCCACGUUUCCGACUCAAAAUUUGCCGGGAGAAACGCGCGCGCGCGCGUGAAAGCCACGCAUCUCGACUCGACUUCGUCUCGGUUUUGGCGCUCGGAGUCCGACUGCCGCCGCCGCCAUUCCACCACUAUAAGUCACCAGGGGGAUCGGAGCACCUAGCACAUCCCUCCAUUAGCCAUCUCCCUCCGUCUUCUUCCAUCGGAUCCAUCCGCAAGCUCGAUCUCGCGAAGCCGGCGACAUGGCGCUGCGCCGCUGGAAGCCAUUCUUGGACGCGUUCCCGCUCAUCGACACCGCCAUCGAGGCCGCCGACGCCGACGGUCUCCUCUCCCGCGGCGAGAUCCGGAGCGCGAGGUCGCGGAUCAUCGAGAUGCUCUGCGACGCCGCCGACGACGACGACAAGGCGGAGGCGCUCUGCGCGCUGCUGGACGAGGCCAUGGCGGGGUCGCUGGGCACGCUGCGGGCGGUGCCCGUGGAGAGGAUCGCGCUGGCGUCCGGCGACGGCCUCGUCGGCGCCGUCGUCGCGCUGACGAGGGACCACGCGUCGGAGCGGGUUCGCGGGCUCGCGCGCGACGUCGUGCGCGGGUGGAGGGCGGGCGCCGUGGCCGAAUUCGCUAGGGCCAGGGCCGAAUUCGCCAGGGCCAAGGCCGACAUGGACGUGCUGGACGGCCUCCCGUCUACUCCGCCGCCUCCUCCCCAGGACGACAAGGCGCCCGGGGCCGGCUCCGACGCAAAGACGAAGAAGAUCCCGGCGGAACAGCGUCGUCCAAGGAAGACCGCCGUCGUCAGCAGCUGCCGUGUCAGCAAGGCCGAGUCCUACGGCACCUUGCCCAAGAAGAGGGCUCCGGUCGUGAGCACCAGCACCGCCAAGCCGUCGUCAGCGAACACGGGAGCUCCAGCGGUUGUCCCAGCUCGGCCGAAGAAGACGCCGCCCGUCGUCAUCAGCUUAGCCACUGAGGAGAGGAAGAUGGAGGCCACGAAGCGCAAGCUCCAGGAGAGGUACCAGGAGGCCGAGGACGCGAAGCGGCGGCGCACGAUACAGGUGAUCAAGCCACCACUGGAACCAUCGGGCCAAAGGCAGCGCAACGAGCACCCGGCCGUGAGGGCGCGUGGGCCGGCGAGCUGCGCGGCGGAGAGGCGCUUCAUGACGAGGGUUUAGUUAGAGUCAGGGGUUCUUGUACAUGUAAACGAAUAGACCAUUAGAGUCGUGUCUUGCCAUUGUUAAGCUAAACUAACUUCUCCGGAUGUGAUCGUCGUCACUGCAUUAUUAUUGCGACGAUGCGACAGAUAUCCACCUUGUCUUGUACAUGUAAACUGAAUUGAUACUCGUGCAAUGUGUUCAAAAGCUUUGAAAUAAAUUUCACGGAUUGUGCUUUUCCGAGCUACUGUGUUAUGCUGCCACCGGUAGCUCCACUUAGAAUGGGUGUGCUCAGAAGAAUCAAACUGGGCCAAGCAGAACUUCCUCAAAGCCAUGUAGAAGGCUUAUCUUCUGUAUUCCUGAAGGCCGACAAUGCCACAAUUAGAUUCUGUAAUUUUACGUGUCAGUGUCACCGCAUUCCAUUUUUUUUUCUGACUUCCUCUGUUCCAACACAGAACAUGGCAUCUCUUUUAUUUCUGUUUGUCACUCAAUCGGAGGAAUAAAACAAGGAACAGUACUAUGAGGGUGAAUAUUUCUACUCACAUGCACAGCAUUUGCAUGAAUAAAACAAGGAACGGUACUGGAAAAGGACUAUAUUCCAUCAGGAAGGGCAAUAAAAACGGUAUCUUGCAGUUUGCAUAACAACUCGCUCAACCCAGGUAGGAACAACGUCCAGUUGUCACUCUAGUAAUACUCCAUGAACAUGUAAGAUUGAAUCAGUAGGAACAAUGUCUAGUUUUGUCCAUACAAUUUGAAGCACUCUAUUGUACAUUUAACUCAGCGCUGGAUUUAUGACUUCCUGAACUUCAGCUAAAAUGUUUCAGAAACCCUGAAUUCCGACACCUAAUGACGGACCCAAUCACCUAAAUCCUUGACCAGUCUAAUAAUAUUAACUAUAAUUGCGAUUUGGGAGCCAAUUACAUAUACAGAACUGAGUCCACGGUUAUCAAUAUUAAAGUUCAGUGGACGAUCAAGAUCACAAUAAUAGAAAAAAUGGAAAUUACAUAUACAGAAUGAUGUCCAGGGUCGUCAAUAUCAGUAAGUCAAUACAAUGUCAACAUAUCUACAACUUACCAAAUCAUCACUCAGCUAUAUACAUACUUUAAGAACAAACAGAGGUGAAGUGUUGAACUAUUGAUUGCUUCGGAUUGGGUUGCAGCCUUGCUGGUUUCAGCAUCUAUAAUAAGUAAACAUCACACCUGUUAGAAGUUCAAUCUUUGUUUAGCUACAAGUGCGAUCCUGCACGCUAACCGGUCUGAUCCUCUAAUUACCUAAUCGAUUCGCUACAACAUAGCAACCGAACCUUUUCCAACAGUGAAAAUGAUUAGGAGUUCCUGAUAAUCUUAACUGCUUCACUGCCGCUUCUGAUGUCACUCAUUAAAGCAAUUUGAUGCAGUAGUUGUGCUAUCCUCUGCAUAAGGGGGAAAAACAAGAGUUCAAUUAGAGUACUGGAAUAUCAAUCACAAUACGAACAUUUGUUGAUCUAAUGCACUUCUAACUUCCUUAAUCUAGAGUUCCAGACAUUGCUCGGUGGUAAAUCAGUGACAGCUAGAGAUGAUAGUCUCUGGAGAAAACAAAAAUAGUCUGGUACAAUCACCUUAACCUUUUGGGUCAAACAUAAAAAAAAAACUCGACCUGCGGGGGGUAAGACAGCCCCCGAGCAUUUGCUAAGAAGAAGACCUUCUCACGCAGAUCGAGAAAACCCCCGAACCCCUGCCCCACCCUUACAUAGUGGCACCGUAGCCCGUGUGAGACGACCAAAGACCUGGGCCGGACCUUAGACCUAUGCUUUGGCGUGGGACAGACGAGGGGAUUUUUUUAACCCCAGCCUGAAAUUCGCUCCCACGGGGAGUCGAACCCAGGACCUGAGGAAUGUUAUGUUUUGGGUCAAACAUAACAAUUCGAAAUAAAGUUACAAAGCAAAGGAAACAUUGGAAACAAUCCACCCAAUUAAAGAUUACAUAGUAGAAUCCUAAGUGUGCUAAUGUGUCAGUAUAUGUUCUGGAUAUGAGAACAGCAGUCGUCUUGAAACAUUUCAUGAAAUAAUGAUACGAUUUAAUUACACACAAAUUUGAAGAAGAUAAGAGAUAAUAUGCUAGAUUGAUUAUAUUUUGUUAAAAGGUUGCUGGGGCUAUAAUUGGAAAAGGUAAGCUGUCAAAUGAACAAGAUGAAAACUCAAGUGGAAUGUUUAUUUGAAACUCAUGAAAUAUUGGAGGGCGGAUGGUACUAGAACUAGUACAGUACAAGGGCAGUAUUUCUACUCUGUCAUUUAUCUCCCUGAACCCAACCUUAACAAGAAUAUCAAUACCUGAAUAAAACCCAGCAUCAAGAAGAGGACUUCUUGAAAGUGUCAAAGCAAUCAAUCGAUCAUCCACGGGGCUCUAUAAGACCAAGUAUCGAAUUAUAUUAUUGGUGUUAAAUCCAAUAAAUCCAUUCGUCUCUCAAUCUUUCCCACCAUCAACAGAUGCCAACUGAUAUAACAAAUUCAUAGACAUUCUCCUUUUAGUAAAUCGAUGCCAUUUACCAACCAAUCACUUUCUAUAUGAUCAAUUUGACUUCCCCACAAAUCAAAUUGUGCAAUAUCGCACUAACAAGUUCUGAAUUUGCCACAUCUGCACUAAACUUCAGAUGAAUAUUUUGUUUGAUCCAGAACCUAAAUGAAACCAAUCUCAUCUCACUGGAACAGCAACAGUCAUCUCACCAUCCUAUUCGUUGCACACGAUCAUGCAUGGCAGAAAUUGGCCAAUUAACCAAGAAUUAACAGAGACAUCACAUUGGCAUCACGACUCAGAGGGCUACAGAGAGAUCCAAACCUUAUCCUUCUCCUUGGAGAGAAGCACGAGCAGGUCCCGUUCCUUUCUAUCCCGCCGCCGGGCGUACAGAAGUGCCCCAACCACAGCAACCGCCGCCGCAGCUGACCACACGGCGGGCCUCACCGAUGGGCACCCGCAGGCGCUGUGCACGAGCACCCGCUCCUGGACCGCCCCGACACCGGUCGCCCAAGCGCGCCUCGCCGCCAAGCGGCACCUCUCCCACCUCGCCCACGCACCCCACAGCCACUCUCCAUCCUCCUCCUCCUCGCCCUCGUCCUCUUCCUCCUCCUCCUCCACCUCCUUCGCCGCCGCCGGCGCCACCGCCUCCUCGGGCUCCGCCUCCAGGCCCAGGCCUUCGUGGAGGCGCGGCGGGAAGAUGGCGCAAUCAUCAAGCCCGCCGUCCACGUGGGCGACGGAUGGGGACGUUGGGGUGAUGAACUCCCAGGCAUCGGGGGCGGGCGGCGAGGAGGAGGCCAUGGAGGUGAGGGAGGAGGAGGAGAGGGAGUGGGUCAGCGUCUUGGGCUUGAGGAGGAGGUGUGGGUUCGGGGAGGGGAGCAGGAGCGGGUGGAGCACGGAGUACGGCGAGGCCGGGCCCGACACGGCGGCCACCGGCGGGGACGGCAGCGGCGGCGGCGGCGACGGCGAUGGGAGCGCUAGCCUCUGGGGGCGGUCCAUGGCUGCGACCGCGGGCGCUGCUGCGCUGCUGUUAAGUGGAGUUGAUUUUUCGCUCGGCAAUUUUGAGGUGGGGCCUUUGCUGAUCUGGAUGGGAGGGGAGGAUCCUUCGUGGCUUCGUCCGGUGCUUGGGCUGCGAGGCUGCGGUCGAUCACGUUCACCAUUCAGAACUCCUCUGCACUACCCGAGCAAAUGAGCAGAGAGUUUGUCGAGGCGAAACCCCGCGACCCCCUCCGCGUCGCCUCCGCGGCCAUGUUGCGCCGGACGCCGGUCGACACCGCAUGGUGGGCUUGCGCUUGCCUGAGCUUGGACUGGGUUAGCGCAUGGUGGCGGUGUCGGUGAGGCUGCUGUCCAUAUGUGCGUGUGCAUGGUGGUGUGAGUCGCCUGUGAAAGCUUGGUCGUCGCCGAUGGAAGCCUGUUUUCCUAUUCCUACCUGUGAAGACGACGACAACGACGACGCUUGCGGGCGCCGUUCCCUGUGGAGGUGUUGUUUUGCGACUCCCACACCAUUCUCCAUGGUUAGCCGGUGUAGUCUACGACUGUGGCAGCGGUCAUCAUGCAGCGAAAGCUUCGCGCCCGGAGCGCGGGGUGUCUCACCUUCGCAUGGUCCGGUGAGGUCUUCGAUUGCUCGGUGCCUCCUACCCUUUGCAUCUCUCCAUUAUCGGUAUACUUCUUGGACUUGCUAAUACUGGUUGUUGCCUAUCAUCAUGGUUCAGCGAGUGUCUCCCACCAUCAGUGCUUUUCUUGUUAGUGGUACCAUCAAAUUUUAUGCUAGAUGGUGUUUCUACCUCUUCCACCAUUCCUCUUCGAGGGUUCCUUCCCUCGAGCGGCGUUGGAUGAUGGGACGUGGAGCCUGGAUGUCCUUUGAAAGGUGUUACCAUUAGCUUAAGAUCGUUAUGUCCAGUGGGCUCUGAUCUGCGUGCCUAUCGCCACCUUAAGUCCCCCUGGUGGUCCUCAAUGAAGCGAUGUAGCUACAAGAGGUGGUGUGGGUGUGCAACAGCCAGAGCAUCUCUGGCGAAUAUGUUGUUCGGUGGCGGCUCUAAUCAGCGAUCGCUGGUCGUUCUUCAGCUUGUGUUAUGGCUUGUCUCUAAAUUGUAUACGUGUUGUAUUUCUCUUGUGGUGUCUUACUUUACUACUGCUUUGUUGCUGAAGAUCAGUACAUGCCCAAGAUCCUUUAAUGAAAUUCAAGUAGGGAUCCCCGUUGACCCAGAGAGCUUGUCGGAAUGGUGUGGAGUUGUGGAUUGGAUGCGAUGUGCAGACAGUGAAAUGCGAUCUUGUUUUCAUGUGCUAUACUGCUAUGUGAGCGCAUGUUUUAGGCAGAUACUUCAAUUUAACGGUAGCCAAGCACGGUGUUCCACUUGUUUAUCUUUUCUCCUUCCUUGUCUUGCUCCAUCAGUGCUAUCAUAAAUUGAGACUGAUAUAUCGAGCAACACAUCUGCUUCACACUAUACAGAGACGCAUAAUGUAGCUGCAUUUGUCACCGCAAGUGCGAAGUUUAUAUUCAGUGAUAUAAAUGAGCAUGAGUGCAUGACCAUACCAAUCAGCAUUCAGAGCAAUGUUCAGAGAAUAAGAAAGCAAGCAGAAAAGUUAAAAUGGCAGUUAGAAUUCGAUACUGGCAGAAGGCGAGGAGCAUUUGGGCUGCAAUUCUCUUUUCAAUGUUUCUUCUUCGUGGUUUUCAGCCCACCAAAACCAAACACCGACAAGCCCAAUAUCUUUUACUCGUGGACCGCAACUGGUAAGCCCAAUAUUUUACUCGUGGAUUGCCUAUGACAGUCGCCAUUUUGUCCCCCUAGGCCCAUAUCGGCCAAACUAUCUCGUCGUCCCCCAACCAGUUUCCAGCCCAACCGCGCCCCUCAGCAUGACAGCCAAGUCCCUCUAACCCCUGAACCAGAAGUUCCCAGGCCACCGGUGGCGGCGCGCGGCGAGCUCGGCGGCGCGACGCGGAGGCGCGCAGGACGCGUGGGGAGCGCGACCGGCGGGGCGUCGGUUGGCCGCGGCAGCGGUCCCAUAACGGCAAGCUACAGUCCUCCGUGAUCGGCGAGUCGUUCCGGAGGAACCCUAGCCUGGCCAUGGCCGCGGCGGAGGCACGGGCGCGGCAGGAGAAAGUGAGGAAGUUCGAGGAGUUCGUGGACCGGCGUCUGAAGCCCGACCUCGCCAACGCCAUCAACCAGCGCGACAAGGUGUUCGGGCAGCAGAAGACCUUGUAAGCCCCGUUGAACUUUCUGUCCGUCGAUUCCGAUUGUCCAUGGUUCUGUGGUGGGACAUUUGGAGGUCGUAUCUCGAGCAAAUCAUCGAAAUUGUUGCUUGAGACAUUUGGGACAUGUGGUGCUUCCUGCUAAUUUAUUUUGACGCAUUAGUUUUCUCUACUGCAACUUGUCUCUGAUGAUGGAGCUUUUUUGGAUUCCGGCAGCUUGGAUUUGAAGAGGAACAUUGAAAAUUUGGAGAAGAAUGGGGUCACCAGCAUGCGGUCCAUGGUCAAUCUUGGCUCGGAAGUGUACAUGCAGGCAGAAGUGUAAGCAUCGCCCCACUUUACCACUUCUUUCAACCAAUGCUUACAAUAUUUACAUUACCAAAUCAAAUAGAGUGAACUUUUCAAUUGCAAUAUUCGGUACACGCUUAAUAUGAAAAAGGUGGGCGAUAUGACUUUGUUUCCAGCUGAAUUCAGAAAUAGUGCAUACGAUGACUGCCCUAGUGCCCUGGUCUUAGAAACGGUGUUUGGCUGUUUCAUACAUAUGAAUAGAAGACAGUGUAUCAAGCAGAUUAGUUUUACUUUUACCAAAUUGUGGUCUUUGGUUACAGGAAGCAAACUUGGAAACUGCUCAUCUUAAUGUGCUCUCAUGCUAAUUUUUAUUUUUAAGUUGAGUCUUGACUUCCGUUAUCUAGCAGACUGUUAAAUUAGUUUUGUUAAGUUGUAGUAGUUGAAGAAAUUUAGUAAAGAACUCAAUAAACCCUUUUCUUGAAACAUGGGUGAUAAAGUGUUUCAAUAUACGUCAUAUAACUGGUCGGUGUUGUGUGGUGAUUUCUGCAGACCAGAUACAAGGCACAUUUUUGUGGAUAUUGGUCUAGGUUUUCAUGUGGAGUUUACUUGGCAAGAAGCUUUGCAGUUCAUAUCUGUAAGAGAGGCAAGGUUGGCUAGGUAAGCAAAUUCUGGUGUUUGUCUGUUUGACUGUGAUAUAUUUCUUCAUUCUGUUAAGUGAGUUAUCCGAAUGGUAAUUUAUGACUGAUAUUUGUGAAAGAUUCUGGUAAUUUGCACUUUGUUGUUUAAUACGGUGCUUAGCACAACAUACUUUAUAAUUUGUUAAUUCAUCUAGUAGGAUAUGCAGAUUUUAGCUCUAAAGGGAAAAUGAAAAAAAAUAUGGAUGCUGAUGUUAGAUCAUAACGAAAAGAAAAAAAAUGUGGAUGCAGAUUUUGUUGGAGCUUUUCUUCAUCAAACAUCAUUUUUAGAUCAGGAGUUCACUUAUUUAUCACAGGCUAAUGUGCGUCAUAUAACAGAGCUGGUCAUAUUAUGUUAGUAAUGUACCUCUUACUUUCAGUUGUAUAUAUUUCCCAAAUUUGGCUCAUGUCACCAGUUUCACUAUCUCAUUUCUUAUAAUUCUAAACCACUGUCGUUCGCGUUUCAAACGCUGUAUGAUGCCCCCCUCUACUACUGCUAAUGACCAUAUGUAUUUCUGAAGAUGCCUCAGAUGAGUUCUAUGUUUAUUGGUAUGGCAACAGAGACACUACUUUGCUGUUCUAAAUUAUAAAAGCACACCAUCGCUUGUUUGUAUGAUCAUUGUUAAUGUUGGGAUAUUAGUAAUCCCACAUGCUCUGAGAUCAGUCAUCAGUGCUCAGUGCUGGAUCUAGCAGAACAAAAAUAUCACCAUAUUGAAAUCAGUAUGUUUAAACUGAAAUGCAGGUUCACCGUUGACUUGAUACAUGUUGCCAUACUCUUUUUGCCUGACCAGGGAUUAUUCUACCUUUCUCAAAAGUCUCUAAUUUAGACACAACACCCAUUGUAUGAUCUUGUUAGUGCUAAUCUGUCUGGAGUGAUGUUUGUGGACAUUAGUUUGCUCAAAGGAUAUAAUCGCAGACUUGCUUAGCAGCCUGGCUAGUUUAUCUUGGUAUGCUUGGACGAUGUUUUUGGUAGAAAAAUUCAACGGCAAUUGAAUCUAGAUUCUUGGCAGACCUUCUCAAUUGAUUGAUCGGAUUUGUGUAUCCUGAAGUCUGAUUUUUAAAAAUUGUCAUUACAACUCUUCAGCACAUCAGGCUUGUUGGACAAAAGUUCAUUGUUUGAUCUGGUGCUUGUUUCACUUAUGGUUGAAUGGUUUCCUUCUGCAUAUUUAGGUUGCCAUGACAUAGGUUGAUGUUUUAUUCCUGAAAGCUCAAUGCAGCUAUGUUUGCAGCAUCUGUUCAGUUGUUAAUGUUGGAAAUGUUGAAUGCUUGCAGGCAAAUAGAUGAAUACACACAUCUCAUCGCAAGCAUAAAAGCACAGAUCAAGUUGGUACGUACAAUGUAUUAUAGUUGAUUUGGUCUUCCAUUUAUGCCGAGAUCAUAUACUCUCGUUCAAAAAUAUGUUUUUUUUUGUUGCAUACAUUCAUCUGAUGAUAUGUGCUUAAAUUCAGAUGUUGCUCUUCUUUCUGCUUACCAUCAGCAAUUCCAUAUGCAGGUAUGUGAAGGUAUCCGUGAGCUGCUGCAGCUACCAUCGGAGAAAGAGUUGUCACCUAGGAAUACCUGGUAGAAUUUGGUUCUUGCAGCAAAUGGUUGAUGCCAUCGAACUUGUAAAAUGUAGUGCAGUAAUGCAAGGUGGUUCCAUUUUUAUGGCAAUGACCAUCAGAAGUUCUGGUAGAAUACCUGGCUUAAAAUAUUAAGACCUUCUGCAGUUGAAAUUAUUCAACUCUUGGAGUAUUUUAAAACCAGACAAUGAGGUUGCCGGUCUUAUAACAAUCUCUUUGACUACACCCCAUAGAACUUAGAACAAUUUUUAAGUUUCUCAUGGCAUUGGUACAUGACAUGUAGUGAUCACUAGCGACACUGAGCAGCUGAGCUCACAUCACCGGGUAGCACGGCAUGCUGGCGAUGCCGCACAAGCCUUCCCUUGCCCCAACGCGCCCCUCCAUGCGGACGUACCCACCCUCUCCCCACCCGUCGCCCCACGAGUUCUUGAUGAUCGAGUACCCGACCACCGUGACGGCGUGGUUGGUCCCGGCGUCGCAGGGGCCCAAGAGCACCCCACCCUUUAGUACUGGAAGGUGGCGGCGUUGAUGGUGACGAUGACCGGCUGCCGCGCCACAGCGCGCUCCAGCGCGGCCUCGCUGUUGGGCUCGACGCCCGCGCCACCGCGGAUCCCGCCCACGCGGACCCUACCGCGCCUGCACUGGCCCUGCCUGCUCUCGUAGGGGUACUCCCACGUGGUGGCGAGCCCGCCCUUGCGGGUGACCCACCACAUCGCCGACGCCGGGUCGCCGCCGACGCAGCCGCUGUCGGGCGGGGUGUGGUCGCAGUACAACAGCUCCUGCUCCGACAGCGACACGAGGCGGCCCGACCGUAGCUUGCAUUGUACACGCUCUCGAUCGCCGCCACCGCCGCGAACGCCCAGCAAGACCCUGCAAGGACAUGACAUCAUCAAGAGCUCAUGUAUGUAUAGUUGCGAACGCCCAGCAAGACCCUGCAAGGACAUGACAUCAUCAAGAGAUCAUGUAUGUAUAGUUACAUACGCAUGCCACGUGGACCUUUGGAUUAUCACCACAAUUCAUUUGGUGCUUGACGGGAGUCACGGCGCCGCUGGUCCUCCAGUCCACGCUGUAGGGGACCUGGCCGAAGGCGUCGUCCGAGUAGCUGCCGUUGCCGCCGCGCUCGGCGACGAGGCCAGCGCGCGUGGUGUUGAUGAGUUGCCGCAUCACGGCGUCGCGGGCCGCGAGCGCCUGUCCGGGCGGCAUGGUGUGCUUGGCCAGGAACUCCUCGCGGGUGAGGUCGGUGAACUGGUUCUCGCCGAGCUCGUAGGAGAGUUCACCGCGCCGGUUCGUGGCCUCGAUGUACUCCACGUUCCGGCGGUACACCUCGAACCGGCGCUGCCGCUCCUCGGCGGUCGCGUAGGUCCGGUUGUACGCGGCGCGCCACGCGUGGAACCGGUCCGUCAUGAGCGGCAUGUCGCCGGAAGCCGCGGCGCCGGCCAGCAGCAGCAGCAGGCUGGCGUACAGGAGGGCGAAGGCCGGAGAACGUGAGGCGGCAGCCAUGGCCGUCGUUGAUGCCAUGAGAGAUAUAGUUUCAGCUACUACCUCUGCCUGUGCAAGCUGCUGCUGCUUGUCGCUUGGUGCCCAGGCUGAUCGAGCAGCCAUAUAUGGCUCUGGGCUUUCAAAUAUAUAGAUGGCCGUGGCGAGGCGAGGUGAUCGAUCACGACACGCAUCAUCGAUCCUUGCCGUCGACCGUUUGGAGGAAGAAGUAAUCGAAUCAGAGAUCAGGACCAGGCGGCCAGGCCACCAGGGUGCAUUGAUCUGCUGGAUGCCGUCUUGCAUUGGGCUCUUGGCAAACGGCCGGCGGUGCCGCUCCGGCUGGUGGAGGAGCUAGAAAUGACCGCAGCGUCUUCUGGAGCAACGUGAAUGGUGCCAGCCAGCGCACAUAUAUGCCCUUCCAGAUAAUGGAAGUUUUUUGCAUCUGCUUCAGUACCGAUCGACGACAUACCUCCGCCGGUUAACUAGACGCAUGCGAAGUUCAUGGGCAGCCAGUUUAGUUGUUCUGUUAAGAAUUAGCGCUGUGAGAACAGCAGUGUGGGGCUGCGUAGUGACUAGUGAGCUGGGGCGUGUCGCGUGCAGUCAGGUCCUCACCCUACGGUGAUGGCAUGCGGACAUACGGCGGCGAUCGAAAAGUUCAGUGAUUUCAGUUGGGACGGGUGCUCACAUUUUUAUAAAUUUAAUUCAUAAAUUAACAAUGUCUAUGCUUUCAGUAGUAAGGUGAUGUGCUCGUCGACAACGAGACGUUUGUGGUGACUUCAUCAAUGUUAAGAUCUGCCAAAUUAGUCUCUCGGAUGUGCUUAUAAGGGUAAUGUUUGCAUGCGUGCAUUCAUAAGAUUGAGUGAGCGUUUGCUUCUACCUACGUAAAAAAAGUUUAGUUGGAGUGAGCUUUUUAAAUAAGAGGACAUGAUUAUAUUUAGCCGCGCGUUCAAAUAAAUGUUGGAAGGUGCGCAGUGUGCUAUCGUUUGUUAUCGAGUCAAGCACUGGAUCGCGUCCUGGUCCAGCGCUAGUCGAGUUCAGCUGACGUGCGCGUCGUUCGCGCUCGGGGCAAGCGUGCCGUCGGGAGUCUAGCGCGGCACGUCCCAGGGCUGUGGGAUGGCGCAGUUCGUUCACGAACGUGCCGCGCCUUUGUCGGCCUCAGGGCCUUGUACCCGAGUCUUUUUAAUUCAGCAACUAAGAUCAGAAAACGCUGCCGCAUUGCAGCACAAACUGUGCGUGUGUUUUCCAUCACCUCGUGUUUGCGCAUGUCCAGUACAGUGUACAGAUCGAGCUCGCCCUAGCAAUGUGAUCUCCAGCGAGGUCCAAUGAUACGGUACUAGAUAGGGAUUUCUCAAACGAGAUCACAGGUCCAACGAUAGACGUCAAAUUCUCCGGCAAGUCGGCCAAGUUCUACUUUCUUACAGCUUAUCUCUUUUCGGACGACGAAUAGGACAGGUUAUACUCUGGGCAACCUUGACAGCUUCAGCGUUCAACGAGUCCAGUCUGGGCCAAAGCACUUUGGGUUGGGCCGACUUCAAGUUGCUGGUUUGCGGGUCCUGCACCGUGACGCCUUCUUCUUUUGAACAUGCCUUCGUUGGAGACGCCUUCUCCUACAUGACAUCCCUCCCAUCUUCAAAAACGGCUUGUCCCCAAGCCCGUACUGUAGGAAAUCUUUCCUCCCAUGUAGAUAGAGAUGGUGGCCAAGAAGACCACCACUGUACCAACACUUGAGCUACUUCCCGAUCACCUUGGCGGCCAAUCCUUCUCUACAAUACUUUGACCGGGAAUUGGAAUGCAUCUGGCAACUCAGCACUCACCUGAUGGUUAGAACCUACUACCUUCUUCAGUAAGGAUACAUGGAACACCGGGUGAAUUGAUGUGGUUUCUGGUGUGAUUUGCUUUCUUGUACAAAGAGGACUGCACAUAUGGUUGUAUUUUCAAGUAGACACACCCUCACCACUUAUCACAUGACCCCCGUAAGGUAUUUGUUGCUGGGUAAAAGAGCAUUUGGACAGCUUGACCUUGAAUUGAUGUGUUCUAAGUAAAUCAAACACAGCUCUGACAUGCUGCACAUGCUCCUCCCAUGAUUUGCUAUAAAUCAGGAUAUCAUCAAUGAGCACCACAGCACAUUUCCUAAGUAAAGGUGCUAGAACUGAGUUCAUCACAUGUUGAAAAGUUGCUAGCCCACCUGUUACUCCAUAUGGCAUGACUUUAUACUCAUAGUGCCCAUUGUGAGUUUGGAAAGCUGUUUUGUAUUGAUUAGCUAAGUCCACAAGAAUCUGAUGAUAUCCAGAUCUUAGGUCCAAGGAUAUAAACCACAUUGCUCCAUGUAAUUCAUCUAAGAAUUCUUCUAAGAGAGGCAUUGGAUAUCUAUUUUUCACAAUUAAUGAGUUGAGUCUUCUGUAAUCUACACAGAGUCUCCAUUCUCCAUUCUCCAUUCUUCUUCUUAACAAGCAACACUAGUGAUGCAAAAGGGCUUUGGUUUUCUUGGAUCAUUCCAUGCUUUAGCAGUUCUAACACUUGGUUUUCAAUCUCAUCCUUUUGUGCAGGAUUGUAUCUGAGGGUCUUAACCUGAAAGGUUGAGCACCAGGCAGAAAAGGUAUAGAGUGAGAAUGUUAUCUUUGAGGAGGAAGGCCUUGGAGCUUCUCCUAAAUGUCAGCAAAUUCAGAUAGUAAUGUAGCUAUCUCAGGUGGGAUUUAAUGAGUGCCUUCUUCUGGUUUGGUUGCAAAUGCUUUCAAAGUACACCACACCUCACCCUCAUCUUCAAGCUUCUGCCGUUGCUGAUAGGAGAUAAUGUUGAUCUCAUGUAAACUUGAUCUCAGCCCUUGCAACUUAAUCUUCUUGUCUUGAUAUAAGAAGGACAUCCACUUUUCAGACCAAUGCACUUUCAUAGGAUUGUAGAUUUCAAGCCAAUCCAUGCCCAGAAUCAUAUCAUAAUAUUGUAGAGGUAAGAUUUUUAAGUCUAUAGAAAAACACUGCCGCUGAAUAAUGACUUCACAAUUUUGCAAUUCAUGUGUACAACUUAGAACCUGACCAUUUGCCACUUUGACUUGCAUAGGUUUCUAAAGAGGUACCCAGUUUGGAAUGGACAAAGCCAUAUUUGCACUAAUGAAGUUGCUAGAGCUACUAGAAUCUACCAGUAUAAGAGGGAGAUUUCCCACAAUUCUGAUUGUUUUAGGUGCUUCACUGCCAUUGACAUCAUGAGUUGAAAUGCACAUAAGAUCAUCACUAGAAUUGUUAUCAGUAUCACCAUGUACUUGUGGAAUUGAUUCAGGUUCUUGUAGCAGUUCCCAGAGUUCUUCCACUAUAUGAAUUGGCACAGUAGGAGCACAUUUGUGGCCAGGAGCCCAUUUCAAUCCACUGUUAUAGCAUAACCCCUUUGCUCUUCUAUAGGCUUUGAUUGCUGACAACUUAUCUUUAGAUGAAUGUAACUUGAGGGCUUCGACAUAUUUUUGUUCCUCAGGACUGCCAUAGGCAGGAGGUUUUGCUUGAUGGGCUAUAGGAGAUGGUGGUGUCGAAACUAGCUUGAAUAAAUAUUUGGAAUUGGGAGUUGGUUCACUUCUUUUCACUUCUCGUUUAGAGAUAUCCACUGUUAGCUCUCCUGUAACAUAGUGUAACAUAGCAAGAGAACUAGCAGUAAUUAGAUCGACAGGCUUUUGAAUCAUAACAACAACUUUAAUAUGAUCUUUCAGACCAGCUAUGAAUCUAUCUGUAACAAUCACUUGUGAGUGGUUUGGUGGUGGGGUCGUCCUCUUCACUUGAGGCAGGUGCAAGGUCGACCUUCAAGGUUGUGGUGGUGGAUGCGGUCGGCGAGGUGGCCGAUGCAGCUGCUGAUGUGUCCGGCGCCGCGGGCGAGGUCGAUGGAGGGGCCAGCGCAGCGGUCACGGGCGCUAGAGCGCGCUCGUCGUGGCUGCGACCCUGUGUCGAACACCUUGCCGGCAGUGCUUGUAGGAGCUCGGUGGUGGAGCGAAGCGUGGGCGAUGCCGACGGUGUGGUGAUGGAAGGCGGCGCAGUGGGCGGGGUGGAGGCCGCCGAUGAACUGAGUGAUGCCGAGGAUGUCGGAGAAGGUGUCGCAGAUGCCACAGGUUUGGUGGGGCACAUCUCCUCCAAUCUCUGCACCCUGCUCUCCAGACUCCAUCUCAAUGAGGCCAUCGUGGCGGCAAUGUCGUCGUGGUCGAGGACAGUCUUCACGGUGGCCGGCGUGGGUACCGGCUUGUGGACGACGAGGGAGGUGGUAGUGGUGAUGGCGGGUUGCGUGGGAAUUGGUGCCAUCGCAACGAUUUGGUAGCAAAUCCACGCAAUGUCGACGAGCACGGUGAUCAGCCAACCACCAGCUACAAAAUCGGCAGAACCGUCGACACAGAAGAAGAACGGAGGAAGAAGAUAGGUUUGGCCUGCCACGCGCGGAACCGGUGCAUCAUGACCAUGUCAUCGACGCCCACGCGGCCGCCGGACGCCGCGGCGGCCAGCAGGCAGGCGCACAGGAGGGCCGCCGCCAGGGUAGCAGCAGCCAUGGUGAUGCGAUGAGUACGCACAUGCUCCGGUGUGCUUCUUGUUUGUUGGUGAGCGUUCGAGCUGCAUGGCAGGGUUUAUAUAGCACUAGCGGCAUCCAACGAAUCGACCGCGGCGCCGGAAGGAUCGACCGGUGACCCCAUGUUGGAUGCUGACGGGCUGCUUCUGUGGCCGCCGAUACAGGUCCAACAAUUGUGCUGGUCACUUGCAUAGAGACAGAGUACAGUGUUGUGUUACAUCUUUGCUCAAAAAAGUGCUGUGUUGCGUCGUACGUCUGGUCGAGUACGUGUCCGCCACGUCACCGUGUGUGUGUGUGUGGCUGUGCGCUGUUUUUCUGAACAGGGCAAAAGGAGAGGGAGGAGAAUCAGAGAAAGAAAUGGGUGAGUGAUUAUGAUUUCUGAUGCUAUACUAACACCCGUUAUUUGGAGCACGUGGUGUUGUAGGAGUGCCAGAUGAGGAUUGAUUGAUUGGUUAAUUGGAGCUUUGCAUUGGGAUUGCCACUCACAAGAGGCAGGGUAAGCCGGUGAAUCGGCUAUUAUCCCUUCUAGAAAAAGUGAAAAAAAUGACAUUUUUUACUAUACGGAAUUAAAUUUCUGCAAAGAAAUUGGUGUUUCGUAUUAUGGUGGUUAAAUCGAUGCCAUUAGCAUCAGCCAGUUCGAACACAAAAUUGACGAGAACCAGCUGCAACCGUAGAUCCUGCUUCACGAUUCGUGCGCUGACUACGAAGUGCUGCUGCUUCCCCUUCCCCCCGGCCUCGAUCGAUUCCUAGCCUCCGUCUCCGUGCGCUGCCGGGGCGCGGUCGCCAUCUGCGACACGGCGACACCGUGAUUUUGACUCGUCUCGCCGCCGACCUCUGCCUCCUCCUACUCGGCGUCCAGCGCCGGCGGCGACCCCUCCCCACCCCACACGGCCACACCGACUCCCUGCCCCGCCGUUACUCCCGGUAAAAAUAAACGCCCAACCCCCGACACCAUCCAGCACCCGCACGCAUGGCGUUCGACGGAUUGUCCGAUCUGCCAUCCGCGUCCACCGCCCUGUCCUCUGCUCCUGGUGUGGUGGCUCCUCGCUUAUUCUGCUACCUGGCCAUUGACUUUUGUUCGUUCGAUGCACACUCGCCUAUUCUCCAUUGACUUUUGUUCGUUCGACGCACACCCGAGGGAAUCGCGUAGAGCCAGGAGACGGUGCGCGCGCGCGCGCGGAGGGAUGCUUUUUUUGAAACUCUGAAGUUAUCAAUCUUAGUUGUGCGCAUGCUUAGCAAUCAAGAGUAUUGCGGGCUUGCGGCUGUAAUGCAAAUAUGUGAUGCAAGUGUGUGUGAUUGCCACAGGAUUUCAAUUUAGGGUAUGGAUGUGUGCCUACACAAAUUAUCCGCGCUAGCACGAAGCUAGUUGAGCGGGUGCCAUUGUCAUCAGGUUUUAUUCUUCUAUUUUGUGUUUCAGCGGUAACUGUAAACAAAAUUGGACAACUGCAGCAUAUGAUUGUAGCCAAUUGCUAACAGUGGUAACUCAGAGCUACUGUCUUGAAGGCAUGUAAUAUCAACAUUCAUAUGAUUUUGUUCGUACAUUAGCUACUGCCAUGCUGCAUCUACAGCACUGAGAAUACUAGAGAACCGAGGCCUAGUGAUGCUGUCGAUGCCUAUAUUCAUAGUGUUCUGUGGUUGAGGUUGUGUUCAAUUCCCCUUUAUUUUCUUUCAACCAGAGCUAGUGUUUUCAUUUUUCUAGGAAAAAAAUUCAAAAUUAUUUACUAUAAGUUGCCAGCCUAUGAAAUUAUUUCUAUUCAUUCUUAAAAGUUGUUGAAUUUUAACUCUUCGUUUAGAAUGAUAGAACAUGUAGUACGACUAACUACUAACAAGAUAUCACUGACACAUCCAAGUUUAAUUCUGUACUCAGUUCUUAAGUUGAUAAUAUUGAGGUCUUCUUUAAGUUAAUGAUGUUGUUUCCCAUACUAAAAGGACUCGAAAGUUUCUAGCUCUAUUAUAUUUGCUCCAUCAUGUGAUUCAGUAUAUUUUUGCUCUAUUUUAUUAUAGCUACUGUUAUUUUUAUGAAUGCAUUUCUGGUGCAGAUCCUAUAAUGCCAACCAGGCGCAAUGUUCAGUAUUCACCUCUCCCUACAGAGGAUAGAGAUAACCUAUGGUUGAAGUACACUCCAAAAUCGCAUAAAAAUUCCAUGGAAGUCAAUUGCCUUGGCACUUUUUCUCCUCAUCAUAGGAAUUUCACUCCUCUUCCUGUCGUAUUUUAUAUUCACAAGUCACAUGGAUGGUGAUGGUUCUCAGGCAUAUGGUCUCUUAUUCCUGGGCGUGCUUGCUUUCCUUCCUGGUAUGUCACCACAAGCAACUUCAGUUAUUAUGUAUUUUCUUUUCAUACAGUGCCUUUCUGGUACAAAUGAGGCAGACAUAGUUUUCUAGAAGAAUCUAAAUGAUUUGUUGUUGGUGGUUAAGUGUUUGAGUUAUAUGUCUUCUUUGUUAACUAAAUGUAAUAUAACUGCAAUGUGUCUUAACAAUCACUCCAUUUGUUAAUUUGUGACCAGUACUGAUAGUGGAUGUUUUGGAUUGAAUGUUUGCUUUGCUGACAUUUAUCGGGCAAUAAUGCUCCCUUCCCUUGGAAAUAAAAUCCGCCUUUUCUCAAUGUUUGGUAUCUCACCUUCAUUAAUACGUGCAAGUGGAAGAACCUAUGUUCUGUUAAUUGUCACAGCUCACAGAACUUUGAAAUAAUCUUAAAUGUUUGUGUGAUUUUCACCCUGCAGCUGUUAAACUGUUUUGCAGGCUAUUACGAGACUCGAGUUGCUUACUAUUCCUGGAGAGGAGCACCAGGGUACACCUUCGCAUCCGUCCCAGAUUAUUAGCCAUCUGUGUCUCCAGAAGUGUGGUUGUCAGACAGGAAGGCCAAGCACGUAGAGAGUUAAUUGAGCCACAAAUGGAGCUACAAAAUGAGCGAUUGGGCAUGAUAUGUAUAGGCAACAUAUCCUGGGCAUGAUAUGUAUAGGCAACAUAUCCUCUGAGACCUCGCUGUUUUCAUGCAUGGCUUAGCUUAGCUUAUAAAUGCUGCCCAGAAUGCUCGCAGCAUAGGUAUAUAGCCAGUUUUGGGUUCUCUCUUUGUUUGUUUUUUUGCUGGAUUAGAUGUUUCCACUUUGGAUUAGUUAUGGAUUGUGCAUCGAAUUUCCGGUCAUACUGCUUCAGCAUUCUGUACUGUAGCUGCUACAGACUGAUCAUAUGGCUGGGUGUUCCUUCAAGUACUUUUCCAUGAAGAUUGUGAUGCACUUGGCACAUGCCCUUGGCCUCAAAUGAGCUAUGGUGUUCUUCGUUUGCACGUAAUGUAUCGGGAAUGAAAUUAUUAUAUCGUAAUGCAUCUGUAAAGAGUGUGCAGUGAAGAGGCUAGAGCAAGCAAAGCAUAUAUCCUAGGAAGAGUGGAUGUCGCUGCAUUUGUCCUACAUGGCAAUUGUAUAUUUAGACUUGAGCAAGGGAAAUAAGUAUCUUGGUGGACCAUCUUCAAGUCAGUGUAGGCUUUGCUUCGUCAUGAAGCCGUGUUCUCUGGCUUUUCCAUUUGGGUCCUUCGUUAAUGAUGAGCAGAACAGAACGAAGAACAGCGGAACUAUAUCAAACAAAUAUUUGCUUGUAGAGGCUGAAAUUGUCGCUGCAUUUUUGUCGUCGUGCCUUGCCAUAAAGUAUAAUGUGACUCAAGAAACAUACUCCUACUAAGUAAUUUUUCUUCAUCGCAAGAAUGACACACGUUACCAGUUGUACAAAUAGAUUUUCCAUUUUGUAUAUAUCAGCGCUUAUAACAUCUGAACUAACAAUUCUCAAACAAAACUUUUUCGUAACAGAUAUAAAAGCUUUGUUUCAAAUUUGCAUUUUUUUUAAAAAAAAGAUUAUGUAUAUAUAGGAGAUUAUGUGUUAUUAGAAGAGUUUGGUACAUAGUUAACGCAAUUUGGGAAACGAUUGCCGAUGUAAGGUAGAAAACGCAGAAUACUACUGAUCAAAUUCACGUGCUCCAAAUGGCUCUUUUUCCAAACAACAAAUGGCGCGCAAAAUUUACUUUCUAUUAAGUUCAUGCUCCUUUUGUCAAACAAAUUGAAGGUACGAAAUUAGUUCGCACUGUUCAGAAUUCAGAUUGUUGAAGAAAUAAACAAGAACAAAGACUCAUCGUUGCAGUACCAGUACCACCGUUGACAAGAUAACCUGCUGAACACAUGACCCAAAAAACCAUAGGAAUCCGUGCGCGGAAGCUUCACUGCACUUCCUUCCCCUGGGCCCCGCAUGUCACCCUCACAUGUACGCAAAUACCUCCCCUAGAUGGACCCACCUGUCAUCCUCGUCGGUGAACUGUCGGUGUGUCAACCUCCCCCACUCCCACACAGUCGUCGUCGUCUCCCUUCAGAAAAGCCCACCCUCGAUCUCUGCUCCAAAGAAACUUCUCCUCCUCCUUCCACGCCGUUAUCAUUCCCCCAAGAUCCCACCUCCUACGCCCCAAUUCCCGUCGCCGAGCUCCGCAUUGGGCGCGCCCGUUGCGCCGACGGGAUAUUGUCUCGGAUCUGACCGGCGAGGAGGCGUCGGCGCGGUCUUGUGUGCGCAGCGCGCUGAGAAGAGGCUGCGAAUCUAAGGAGUGCGAAGAAGAGGCGGGGGGGGGAGGUAGUCGGGAGGAAUGGCGCCGACACGGGGCGCCGGGGGAGGGGUGCGGCUGCCGCCGAUGAACGCGCUGGAGAUCCUGCGGGAGACGGUGCGCGUGCUGCGCGGGGACCCGCACGCGUUCACGUCCAUCCUGUUCCUGCUGCUCUGCCCGGCGUCCGGGUGCCUCCUCCUGUCGGCGGCGGCGCUGGACGGGGCCGUCGUGCUGCCGCUGGCCCGGAGGCUCCUCGUCGCGGCCGCGGCCUCGGGCCUCCCGCUCACGCAUUUCGUCAGGCAGCUGGCGCACCACCUCGCCGCCACGCUCGUGUCCGCCGUCGUCUCGUUCCCGGCGCUCCUCACGCUCCUCCUCGCCGCCCGCGCCGCCGUGGCAUACUCCGUGGCCGCCGUGUACGCCGGGAAGCCGCUCGCUGCCGGGGACAUCACCCUCCUCGCGCGCCGCGCGUGGCCGCGCCUCGCCGCCACGUACGCGCUCGGGUGCGCCGCCGUCGCCGCCGGCCUCGUCGCCUUCUUCGCACUCCUCGUCACCGCCUGCUCCACGCUGAAGGCCAUGCUCUACCCGCCUGACAUUGUCGUCUGCGCGGGCCUCUUCGCGGUUCUCGCCUACUCCGUGGUGUACGCGCACACCAUCAUCAUCUGCAACCUCGGCGGCGUCAUUGCCGUUCUCGAGGAAGUGGCUGGUAUCAAUGCACUGCGCCGGUCGGUGCAGCUGAUGCGUGGCCAGACCCACGUCGGGCUGCUCAUUUUUCUUGGAUCCACCAUUGGCCUGGCCUUCGUCGAGGGGCUAUUUGAGCACAGGGUGAAGACAUUGAGCUAUGGUGAUGGGUCGUCACGGCUAUGGGAGGGGCCAUUGCUUGUCCUCAUGUACGCCUUCGUUAUGCUGAUCGAUUCAAUGAUGAGCGCGGUGUUCUACUUCACUUGCCGGUCAUCAAGCUUGGACUUCUUGGAUGAGGAGGGUGCCUCCGUUGAGGAGCUUGAGAUGAUGAGGGCUGGCAAUUCAGAUGCUGUCAGGUGAUAAAGAACAUCGGUUUGUUUCUCACAGGUGUAUCUGUUCAUAGUGUCAUAGGGAAAUAAGUGAGAUGGGCAUGGCCAAGAUCCACUCAGAUUGACCGAUGGUAUUGGUGGGUUGUGGCACCAUGGCUAACACUUCAUGUGUAUGCUUGGCUUGAUUGGUUGACGUCCGUGGUGAAAUCAACAUUUUUGCAUCUAUUUGGAUUCUACCAUGCUCAGGUAAUGGUGGAUGUGGAAGAGAAGGCUAGAGGGACAUCUGUCAUAGGAUGUGUUCUUGAUCAGACCAAAUUUUGGCAGCGAUCCAAGAGCUGGCAAUGUGUGUAGCAUUCUUUCAAAAUGAUGUAACUAGUAUAUCAAUUUGAUUAUUGUGGAAUUUUGGUCGCCUUACAACAUUUUGGUUAUACUGAAUGGAAUAUCUUCUGUUACUGAGGAAAUACAAUAUAUUGUACAAUUGAUUCUUGAAGUAUCAUUUCAGCCAAAUUUUCAUCUUCGGAUAACAACCCAGCCAGAGUUGUUCUGAGUUGAGUUUCAUGAUUAUUUCUUGUAUUGUCUUUCAUUGCAGAAGCAUGAUAUAUCUACAUUCAGACUUUUUUUUUUGGUUUCCUACUUUCACAAAAGAGCUAUCACAAUUCAGAAAGUUUGUCGUGUAUUCUUUUAAUCUUUUUCAUUGCUGCAGGUGCUGAAAAUCUUCAGCAUCCAAAAGUUGUAUUUACAUAUGAAUCUCUUAGUUACACCCAAAAGUUCUUUCUUUGCGUAGUGUGUGCUGGUGAAGACUAGUUCUGAGGCUUAGAAUUUUGCAUCAGAAGCAUCUUUUGUUUUCUUGGAGCUUCUCUGAGCACUACUGAUAAUCCAUGCUUUCUAUACGACAAAUGAAUUCUUUUUUCUUCCUCAGAUCAUGAAAUAAUCCGUUGACUUCCAUUGAUUAUUGGCUAUGUGUUGUCCCCAAGAUCAAACCUGUAAUGUUCAAUGAACAUCUCGAGUAUUUUACCAUCUAGUGUUCACUGACAACUGACUGAAGCAAGAUUCAGUCUUGUGUCCCUCACCGUCAGUUGAUUCUGGGCACCGACAAUAACGCCAAACUUUUUGCUUCAAUAUGAUUACAACAUAAGAACACUCUUGAAAAUUUCUUUUCUUACCAUUUUCUCGUGAGCAAAGAAGUUUAGAAAAAUAAAAACUUAACAUCGAUCGUGCUAUCUCAAUGAACUGAGGCCAAAAGUGCCCCAUAAAUAAUUGCCAUGGUAUACCUUCCAGUUCCCUUGAGAAAUUGGGCAAGGAAUCUGACCGAUUACCAUACUGGUAAGUGGUAGCAUGCAAGGUGCCGUUUUGCAAGUUUUACGCAACAUGUUUAGAUUUCUGCAUUACCAAAACAUUGAUGAUCGAACUUCAUCACGUGACGUCCAUGUAAUUUAUUCUCGGAUCUAAUGUUAGACCUGGUUGUGUAUGUAUGGCUUAAUUAAAGUACUUAGGACGGCCCUUGCCCAUUGGAUGCUUGACAAUGUGCUUCUGAGUGUGUUCCAGGUUACCGCAUUGGCACAGGCUAGGAUAUUUCUAGCCAUAGAGAAUUUAACACUCUGAAUGCCUGCAGACAUUGCAGCAUAUACAUGUCAUUGUUUUCAUCACAGCACAUGGUCGGAGCUGACAAGUCAACCUCAAGAACAAUCACUAAUCAGACGUUGAUCCAAGAGAUCCAAGGUAUCGACCUCUAAAUAAAUCGGUUCAUUGUCAUCUGACAGCGAGAGUACAAGCGCCUGAGCCCCAAUUGAUGAAAUUCAGAAACUGCCUAUCUAGCAAUUCAGAAACUACCAAAGAAUUAACAAUUUCACAGUAUCCAACCAUUGCUGCGGCCAGAUUUGACAUCAACGACAAACGAGGUCAGAUACUGGAAUCUCUGGUUGUCGGCUGAUCAUUUACAAUCUCCAUUCAUCUGAAAGAAGCUGAACAUGGAGUUGGUCUGAAGUCAGUCAGGACAAUCUGUUCUUUGCCACGAGGAUGCCAGAUGAGGACGCGCUCUGGUCGGAGUUGAGGAUGAUGCUUGCCCAGUUUGAUGAGCGGUGCACUAUCCGUGACGGAAUGCGGUCACUGUCUUCACCUCCUGAUGCUUCAUACCCAUCGCUGGUCGAUCUCGACAACUGGACCCCUUGCUGUGGAGUGCUUCCUGGGGCAGCGAGAGCUGUCAGUUGCAGGUCUUCAGCUCCAGAUGAAGAGACAGCUGAGACCCGGUACAGGUGCAGAUCAGGUGAAUCCAAACUGCUAUCCGGAGACGAUCCGCCUACGUUUGCGGAAGAUGCAGCUCUACUAGGAUGGAAGGCGCUCCGUGCCUCGAGUUGCAAUGGUGCUAAACUGGAUAGUGCUUCAGGGGGCAUGUCGCUGCCGGUACUAUGAAUAACAUCUGCAGAUAUCUUCGCGACAGGUUUGAGAGAGAGGUCACUGGGCUGUCUUCCUCUUCUGUUCGUUCUCCUCUUGCUAUCAGGGCCUAGAUCAAUCCUGCCACUGCUCAUACCUCCAUAGCUACUAUCUGUGUCAUGGCCUCGCGAAUAGUCAUCUUUUCUGAUAGGCACUAAAACUUUUGACUUCUUCCGUGCCUCUGCAGCAACUCUCGAAACUUCUUCUGCGUUUAGACGAGCCAAUGCCCAUGGACUUAUUUUCACAGCCCCUGAGCCCUUCUUCCUCCUUACUUCAUCGUCCUUUCUCUUGGUAGCAGAAUUAUGCGAAGAGCCAGCCUCUGAUGGAAUGACAUCGUACUGGAAGAAGGUUCAGAAACUUCAUGUGAGUUGUGAUUUGUGAACACCAACAGUCCAACAGGUAAAUGCCAAGAGGGAAUUGCUAUGAGUUAGAAAUGCAAGACAUUAGUUAUUAUCAGUCAGAAGCAGCAUGGCUGUUAGAGAAGUGACUUACAAUUCACAUGCUUUACUACCCAGGCUGUCAGUCUAUGAUGUGUUAUACAGAUUAAAGAUGUUGAUUCAGUCUGGAAGCUACAGUAUCUAUUUAAAUGAUUCAUGAAGCUUAAGGGUGUAAGGGUCACACCUGAUCUUCAAGAAACAGCCUUGGAGGAGUGCACCAUGAACCACGACGAAGUGGACCAAAGGAACUAGCGCUGCUGAGUCCAGUGUAGGAGCUUACACGAGACAUCUGUGGACUCUGCUGCCCACUAGCAUCUUCUUGGUCUUGCUCUCUCAGGGCAAUGAUGUAGUCAUAUGUACUGAUUCCCUGUAUCAGUUGACAUAAAAUCAAUUCGCCCAAUAAAAGCUGCAACAUCAUGGUAAUAAACUAUUCAUGGUUCCUGCGUUUAGUGCUUACGCAGCAGAAAGUCAGUACUCCAAGGUCUAAAUUUCCAUUUUGCAGUUUAUUGUUUUAACUAUUUAAAAAAAAUGUCCAAAGAGGUGCUAUAAGAAACUACAUGUUGAUAUUAGUCCUAUUAGCGAUGUAAAAUUUUUGUUCAAUAAGUAAAUUGAUGUCAGUAUCCACAGUGCUUGUACCCAAGUUUACAUUAUCCAAAAAAGAAAUGGUAAGGUGUUACAAGCUGAUCAUCACUACAACAUAACUUUGAAAACCGAUUCUAGACUUAACCAAAACUGUGAUGUGCAUGAGCUUGUUCAAGACAUAGAUACUCAUAUCGUUAACAAGGAUAUUAUUGUUCAAAGCUAAAUACAAUUAGACAAAAGGGAAAUGUAUCAGAACUUACCUUCUUGAUAAGAAGAAUGUGGAAAAAAAGAAGUUGGGCGAUCGGGAGUGAAGCGACCAUGGCUAGGAUGCUACAUGAUGCCUGUGUCAACAAAGAUCAAUAAUUUAACCAAUAUCUCAAGAAAGAUUGGUGAAAAGAGCUGGCUAAUUUAAUAACCUUUGAACUAUUCAGUAUCUGAAAGUAGGAUGACAGUUCAUACCACCACAAUCACGAAAGGCACUAAAGAGAAGCUGCUCCCUAGCUUUGAGACAAUUUGCACAGAGAAUUCCUUCCGCUCAACAAAGCAUAGCACUAGCACCAGUACUCCAAUUGCGGACUGUAGGAUAAGCUGGCCGAAAUUGCACAAAUCAUGCAGACCUGUCAAUGGUCAACUAGGAUGAAAAGGACAAGGACUAAAAUGCUCUCUGCAAUUAUGAUGACCAAAUUCAAUGCAUAGGAGUGACUAUUUCUAGAAUGCACUUGAUGCUGGGAAUAUGCUUAACAAGAAUGACAAGGUAAAGAAUUAUGUAAGCAUCUAUACCAGACAAUCUAUCAGGCAUUGUAGAACUGUAAGAGAACAUGAGCUUACCAAGACAAGGGCAGUAGACAUUAGAACAAAAAACCUCCUAUAGUUUCUUUUUCCAAUACAAUUGUUGAGCCACUGUUGAGAUUGAGGAAAACAGGGGAGUUAUUAUAUGCUAAGUGGUGGAAAUAAGAAUAUAAUUUUUAAGGAGUAUGUUACCCGGCAGUGAUGAUCAAAACCAUCUACACAUUUGUCACAAACUCUGCAAUGCUUGCUAUAAUUCAACACCUACAAAGGAAAUAGCAGACUAUUAAUAUGUUUAUUGAAAAAAAACAUAGAUCAACACCAAUUACAAGAAACAUACCUGAACUUCACAUAAGCUGCAGAAAAACAUCCCUUCCUCGCUGGCUUGAUGCUCAGAGGACCAUUCAUGUGAUUGGCAGCAGGAAAAAACAAAAGAGAGAGGGUAGAAUAUAACGAGAAAUGCGGAGAAGGUUGAACUGCAGCAAGAUGAAUUCUUGUCCUUGUGUUCAGUCAUUGACUUUUCACUAGGUGCUGCAACCUCAUGUUCUUGCUUUCUUCCAGUACCCUCUAGUUGCAAUCGAGUAUCAGAAACACCUUUUCUGGAUUCCUUCAGAUGCUUGUGUUUCCCACUUCCAUACAAGCUCAGAUACUUCUUUGAUUUGAAGACCCCUGGGUCUGCUGGGUUCGCUGCAGCGCACCAGAUGUAUAGAAAGAAGACACAUAAAACCUGAGAAACCAGAUUACACACAAGGUCAUAAAGGUAUUACGUAAAUAGAUCAGCAACCAUAACACUAUAAUAAAAAUUUUGCAGCAGGUUUUUCCUAUAUAACAUUUUUUCCUGCAAGAGAGCAUAGCAUGAUGAAAUCAUCUGGUAAUGAUAAAUUCCCUUCCAAUACACUUCGAUUCAUUUAGAGACAAAAGGUGCACUUGUGAACUAAGAAUAGAGUUUGCCCAAGAAACUUUAGCUUCAUCAUGUAAUCAUUUCCUCUGUGACAUCAGUUUUUUUUUAAGUUUUGCAGACCUGAAUGCAGCAUUUUAGAGGAUAUAAUAUUUCAUCUAGAAAAAAAUUUAAAUAAUUGCUUUUGUGAUUUUUCAUGUUGUUUCUCGACUUAACACGUGUAAAAUCAAACUAUACUCCCCAGAGAUGACAGUAACUAAACAUUUUUAAUCAUGAAGCAGUGACGAGCAUGCAAAUAGAUGUCUGUCAAAAGAACAAAAGGCACCAUUUUACAACAUUACCUACUCAUUAUCACGUAAGCACAACAAUUUUCUUAAAGCAAAGAAAGCUUCCAAACAAGUUAAGUAACAUGAUAAUCAUGAAGCCAGGGGUAACCCAGAGUGGUUUGCAAGGGGGCAAUUCAAUGGAACCCAUUUCACGCAACUGUCUUUCACGAGUUGGCAUCAUUACAGCAAGACAACAGCAUCAUAGCGAUGCCAUAGGACUAUUAAGAAACAGCCAAUGUUAGGGUAAUAAGGACUACUUAUGCCAUGUCACUCUCCUGUAAACGGAGCCACAAAAUCGUAUUAUGACUGGAGUACAACCCAAAGACAGAAGAGCUGAAGUGGACAGAAAUGAAGAGGACCCAAGAGCCUGACAUGUACAGCUCCUGCUUGCUCUGAGACUACAUUUCCCCAAGGGUGUUACAUAUACAACAUACAAGCAUACUGUCAUUAACCUUGUGACAGAAGCAAAAUUCCGCCAAAUGCGAAGGCCAAGGCAAAGCCAUUGAAUUGAGCAAACCAGACAAUGCCUUCCAGAGUUAGGCACGCCACAUGAUGGCACCAGAAUUGCCCAGAGUGGCCAAGCGAUUCAACUCGUACCACCCUUAAACAAGCAACAAAGUACAGAAAUCGUACAAAAUAUGCGAGACUGCCAAAUAACACAUUUCAUGAUUAGGUCACUUCAUUCGGCACCUUCCCUAGUUCCAGCAACCACUACUGGGCCCAUUAGGCACAGGCAGCACCUAGAUGGGGGAUCCAAAGGUCCAGAGAAGCAAAACACGAGGCGCUCACUCAACUCGGCAUGACACCAAAGGAGAGACAAGCAGGAGCUCUCACCAGCGGAGUGUAGAGCCCCAUGACCACGUACUGGUACACCUUCCUCCCAACGAAGGGGGCGAAGAACACGUAGAACGCGAACGCCAGCGCCAAGAACACGGACACGGCCACCACCUGCAAGAGGCGUGGAAUCUUCGGUAACCACUCCGCCCAGCAAGAAAAAUGCACGAAAUUCCAGCGAGGACGAACCUGGAGAGGGUGGUACGGGAGCUGCCACCCGUGCCGCCUCAUUGCCACUCCCAAGAAACCGCAGAAUCGGCAGGAGAAACACGAGAAAGAACAAAGAAGCCUCCUUUUUCCCCUUCCUGCUCCUCUCCUCGAGCCAAGGGACGCGACGCGAUCAAUGCAAGAGAAGGACCCGGGACCUCCCAGGAUCAAGUACUCAAGCACCGAGCCCGCGGCUCCUGCUCGCUCUCGCCAUGGAUUCGAUCUUGCCGCGGUGGUCGCGACCGCAUCUGUGGGCUGGCGCCUGGUGGCCUGUUGGCGAGAGGGGAAUGGGGGAGCGUUUGGGAGGGAGACCAAAGGUUGGAGAGCAUUAAAUGCCGCGCUGCUCUGUGCAGAUUUACGGCAAGGAGGGGAGCGGCAAGCGGAACCGGGCGAGGGAGGGAGGGAGAGGGAGAGGGAAGGGAGGUGGUUUUGGUUUGGCCUGGCGUGGCCGUGGCUGCUUCGCUUUGGGCGCUCACGUGAACCUCCCUCGCCAGAGUCCGGUCUCCACUGUGACUGAUGACCGUGGCAGUAGCAGCAGGCCGCCUGUUUGUCUGGCUGUCAGUGUGGGGCCCAGUGACAACCGGUUUGUUUAACCCCUUGUCAUCCAUGGUCCUUGGAUUGGAUGGACCUUGAGUUGAGACUCUUCUUUUCCUUUUUACUUUGAGCUUGAGCUUUUCGUGAUAGGGGCCCAGUGACAGCCGGUUUGUUCAACCCCUUGUCAUCCACUGUGACUGAUUGUUGCUUUGAGCUUGAGCUUCUCGUGAUAGGGACGUUUCUAACAUAGCUAGGGAGCACGGUAAUUUUUUCUCUCUUUUCUAAACGAGUAUAGUAAUUUUCCCCUGAUUUGGUUCAAUGCUCAUUGUUUGGGGGGGGGGGGGGGGGGGGGGGUUAAAAAACAUCCUGCUCCAGUUAGUGGGGUUUGAAUUUUAACUACGAGCCAAGAAUCCAAUGUAUGACGUCGUGGACGCUGGUUGGAUUAUACGUGCGUAUCUGGUGGUUGGCAGGUAGUAAUGUUGAUUAGUUGGCGUCCGGACUGCAACCAUGAGAUAAGGCAUUUACCAAGAAAAUAAUAUGGUGCCAAAUCUGCUUACAUGUGAAACAUAUUUAUUAAUAUAAAAAUGGCUGGCACUGUAUCAAUAGCUCAGAAACGGCUACAGAGAGCUACAGCUCUAACAAUCAAUGAUAAGUAUCCCAAGCAAAUCUACAUAAAUUUGAACCAAUGAAGAUAUCGUGCAUAUAUGUAUUUACUCGUAUGUGUGUACCUUUUCGAACAUAGCAUGCUCCAAGAGAUUCAACCGGCAAAUUUAGAAAUUGAUGAAAUUACCGUAUAUUUUUUGUCAUAAUGUAGUAAAGGUUUUCCUGAAAAAUGCCUUCUCGUGAAGCUCCCUUCCAUGUGCAUCAGAUCAGCUACUACUACACCGGCAGUGCAUUGUCUAAGCGUACUUGCCCUCCUGCUAAUCUGAAUUUCCAGUAUCCAACAUAUCAGCAUCCAUGCAGCGUCACGUCGUCCGUACACAAACAGUCUGUCAGGGAUCAGCACUUAGCGACCUCGAUUUGGAUCGAUUAAAGUUUAGUUGGUGUCACAUCGAAUGUUUAGAUACUAAUUGGAAGUAUUAAAUAUAGACUAAUUAUAAAACCAAUUGCACAGAUGGAGACUAAUUCGCGAGAUGAAUCUAUUAAACCUAAUUAGUUCAUGAUUUGAUAAUGUGAUGCUACAGUAAAUAUGUGCUUAAUAGAUUCGUCUCGUGAAUUAGCCUCCAUCUAUAUAAUUAGUUUUACAAAUUAACUUAGUUGUUCUAAUUAGUAUCCGUUCGGAUUUGAUGUGACAAGUACUCAACUUGAUCCAAACACCCCUCGAAAAACUAUGCUGGACACGAUCAUUUUGUUGACGAUUCUGACUGUCAACAACUCGACAUUGUUUUAUACGAUCAGUGCUGUACUGAACUAGCCUUGAGCUUAUACCUUUCGGGGUUAGCAAAACAAAAAUAUUGUGGAUUAGUACUGGGUUGUCGUGCCUGGUUUGUCCUUUGCUGUUUGUUGUUCUCCUUGAAGCCAUCAACAAACUCUUCUUCGAUAGGCUUUAUCAAGAUUCCGGACCGUGCAGCUUUGCCCCGGAAUACAGAUGAACCAUAUAGAAAUUGAGAAAAUAUACUUUAUAUUAAAAUUUAUGAAGUUUAUGAUCGCACAAUGUUACUCUUUUUCUUAACAAUAGAAAAGGACACAAAGUGACGCUCAAGCAGAAUGUCAAAAGUCCAUGAUUCAAAUGAUAAUGGGCUAAAAUCAUCACAGGGAGCCACAGUUAUAAACUUUGCAAAAGCUGCUAUGAACCCGUGACCGUGCAUAUGGAUCACCUCAUUUCACGCACUCAUUUUGCCUGCCCUUUUGGACAGUGCAGCCUAGGUUUCUCAUGAUGCCGCCACCAGGCAACAGUUGACCCCUCGCUUAAGCAAGGAAUCAACCCUUGCUAUGAUUGCCCAUUCCAAUUUCCAUGUGCCGGGGAAAUUUAAUUAGUGUGCUUCUCUUAAUCCUCAACCAAACUGUAUACAUGCAUGGUAAGAAUAAUCUUAUUUUAUUGAGUAGAAUCAUACGGAACACAUACCGAGAGCUUAUCGUGAGAAGAAAUCUAACUAACUAUGUAGAUAUUAUAGUUAUAGAUAGGGUCCCGAUUUAUCAAUUUCAAAUCUGGAGCAUGUGGCAUUUAAGAAACAUCAACCUACCCUUUUCAAUCAUUUGGGGGAUGAAUAAAAAUCUGAAGCAAAAAACAUAUAUUGUCUAUCCAACUAUCCCAAUGAUAUAUGAGCUCUUUUAUGGUAUACUGAUACUAGACUAUACCAGUGUUCGAAAAGGACUAGUACAAAAAUAUCGGACGGUCAAGAUUAAUAGUAUACUACUGUAACUUUCACCAUAGUGGGUAGUAUAUAUAAGUAGUAUAGGUAGUAUAAUGGUACCAUGGUAAAAGAACAUAAAUGAUAUCACUAUAAUAUUUUUUUUGACACUAGCAUAAAGUUUAAAAGACCAUUCCAUUUCAAAUCUCACCCUUUAUAAUGUAAUUAUUACUAAAUUAUCCUUAUUAUAUAUACUGUAUACUACUAAGUAGUAGUAUUGUGUAUUUAAAAAAGCUCGGACAUAUACCUCACUUCAUCACUUGUUUGUAUUUUGUACCAUGCUCACACUGUCACACACACUAUCAGUGAGAUUUUCGAUGAGCUAAUCAAGUAACCAGACGGGCACUGGGCGCAUGCAUUUCAGACCUCGCACCCGUGUUCUCUACUGCGCCCUGGCAUCUUCACGUGUCCUCUAGGUGUUGUCAUUUGGCAAGAUGCCCCUCCCUUGUGACUCGAGAGUUGGGAGACAGUGGACGAGUGCGCGCUGUCAAAGCCUCAAAUUCGGUUUAAAAAAAGGCUGGGUUCUGACUUUUUAUGACGAGCACCUUCUUGCCCGGCGCUGCUAGUCUGCUAGCCUUGGUAUCUGACAGUUCGUACUAGCUAGUGACUUUGGAGUUCGGAUGAAAAGAGCGGCACCUCAAGGAAAGAAAGAAAGGAAUCAACGAGAUGUCAAUGGAGGAUUGGAGGUAGCCGGCUGAUGCCGGCAUGUGAUUCGAGCCUCGGCUUGGCGCGACGCGAGAGACAGCACAGUGAUGGGGGAUGGGCCUUUCGCUAGGAGACAAGCCUCGUCUCACCUAAAGCCGUUGUCCUCUCUUGACCUGUCAGUGUUGGCCGCGCCGCUGCGUUAGCUAGGGCCGGCCAUGGACGCACCUCCUCCUGACGCAGCUGCUCAUCGCUAGAGUAGAGGCCACCGGGCACGGCACCUUUUGGAGCUGAUCUUGGUUUAACCUCAAACUCGCGUCAUAUUGUAUUGUUUGUUCUUGGUUUGCUGUGUGUGUCUACCGCGAUUUGGAAUGGAAAUGGGAAUGGGGACUGAGCAUUGAAGGAGCGGAGGUACCAGGGCUACCAGGGCUAGAGUGCUAGACAGGAGAGGGUGUCGGUCGAGGCGGCGGCGCGUGCGGCCAAGGUCGACGGCAGAUGCGUUGGAGGAGGCCUGGAGGGAAACGAUGCGAUUUUGUACGGGCAUGGUUGAUGUUGAGUGGAACCGGCUGCGGACCUGCGGUAGAUCAGUAGAUGCGUCUUCUUUGCUUGCUGGGCCCUUGGAUUUCUGGGUAGGAAAUUACACUCGUUUCUUCGCAGCGGCGACGGUGGCUCCCUUCUUCUCUCGCCGCCGGCACGAUCAUAUGCUGCCACCCUGCUCCUCGCCGCCACUCGGACAUCCCGUGCUUGACCUCGAUGCCGCCGCGGGUGACGUCGUGAUCUGAUCCCGAUAGAUAGCUUGCCAGCAAAAGUGAUUCGACGCGACCCAGCAGGUGUUCAGCACGACGGACACUGCUACGACGCCGGCUUCGCCGUGUCAGGGUCCGACGCCCCAGCUGGUCCCCUCCGACUCCGAGCUAGACGACGUCACCGUCGGCCGUCCGCAGCACCUCCGGCGCCACGAGUCCUCGCCAAGUCGCGAUUUCGCUUGGCUGGGCCGAGCUGCAAAGCCCGCCCAGCACACGCCAGGCGGACCGUGAGCAGGCCCACUUGGAUCAGCUGCAUCGCAACGUCGUUAACGACCCACGAGCAUGUUCCGGAAAAUCUUCAGAGCCUGAUGCCAUAAAGAAAACAUGGAGCAGGUCCAAAUUACUCCACUUCAGAGCGUUUCAGCAACCUUAGCGUUUCAGCCAAUAACCCAAAAGCCAAUUUCACGCACAGCAUCCACAGGUAGUUAUGUUAUCUGGACACAGAAAUCACGUGUAAUUGCCUAAUGUCGCACUCGCUUGACUUGUUCUCGCACUUGCAAGAACCCUGAAUUGCCAUCCUGCUAUCAAUCGUGAAUUCAUGUAAAGCUAAGGGGUAAACCGUAGCAUGCCUUUUAAAACCCUUUAAAAUUUGUGCAAAUUUGAUGGUGAGAAUAAACACUGCAACCUCCGAGGGUAAAAUAGGGAAGCAAAAGCAGCUGCACACAACGAGCGACAGUGAAGCCCACGAGGCUGUCAGACAACGGAUCAUAGACGAGAUGAAUUCACUGCAUCACAGGAGACAAUGAUACAUUCACUAAAAAAGAACUAUCACUGCACUACGCGCGAGUUUACAUCGCAUUUACCCCUGACACACGCUCUUUGCCCCUGGAUUAUCUCCAUACCCUUCUACACUACUGCCUAUUUUUACAAUUUUUUACCUAAGAACCAGGCUGUACUUUUUCGAAGCCAUGGCUGUACUUGGCCACCGGUGUUAGAAAGAAUGGAAAAGUAACAUGAAACAACAAAAGAAAGAAUGACGUUAGCGUCAGUGUUAGCAGCUCUUCACAGCAGUCAGAAGUUGGCACUGGACCAUGCUGGCCGACAUGGAAAAAAAAGAAGUCGGCAUUCUCCAUCGACACCUGUAACAAGAAAAUAGUCAACAAGUCUGAGAAAAUUUUCUUGAUGCAUUCAUGAGGAGCAAAGAUAAGUCAGGGCACAAUACCACAGAGGGCGUCCUGUACAGUUGCUUCGAUGCGAUCAUGCUGCUGCACCCGUUGGAUGCAAGCAUCCAUCCACAAAAUUUCCCUUGCCCAAAAAUGCAUUGGAUGGGUGUCGAUUUGCCUCACAGGCAGACCAGAAGCACAGCGCAAUACCCGGCCAUCCGGAAUCAUCCCACAUCUCUUCCUCGUCUGCUUGCAGACCUUGUCCUCUCUAUGGUUUGUUUAGCUUGCCGGCUUGGAUUUGAUGGUUUAGCGUCCUACGAGCAGUAUUUGAAAAUCAUAAAUAUAAUGAGCUUAUGAAGUUCCCUAAAACUUGAAAAACAUAUAAAAUGAGAAUCAAUACAUUUUUGCUAGUUAAUUGAGCACUUUUAGCCUUCUCUGCUUCUGCCUCUUUUUCAGCCUUUUUCUUCUCGAGCUCAGCUUGCUUGAGGUUUUCCUCGUGUGCUUUUCGAAAUGUUGUUACAAAUGUUAGGAGGGUAGAGAUCACUGCGGAAAAUAGGCACAACAGGGUAAGGAUGAGGCAUCUAUAUAGAUAAUGCUCAAAAUGCUGGAAUUGGGUGUGCUUCAACCACCUAAAUCCUACAGAGAAUAAUUUGUACCCUAAGUUAACCUGGGCAUGUUCAGAUAAAACUGAUCUGCUUACCUUGUUCAAAAGGACAGCGAACAGGAUCCUCACCAAAGUAUUUAAUCAGUGCGUCAGCCUUUUUACCCUGGAACCACAUUGAAAAUUCAAUCUACAAGAGAUGCAGGCACAUAACGUGGUGCUGCUAUGGACCAAAAAAAAGGAGUAAAGCAUACCACUUCAGAAAACAAUGAAGAUAAGGACUGCACAUCAGCUCCAGCAUUGUCAGUGAACUCUUUCAGUUUCUACACGACGCAGAUAAUGCCAGUUUAGAAGCAACAGAGACAUUCAGAAUUCACUUAUUUCACAGCUUAACAGGAACACAAUGUGAUUUUUUAUUGUUUGCUUCAGCAUUUUGUGGAUUAAAACCAUCAAUUUAGAAGAAAUAUUUACAGAGACAGUCACCAAUGGAUGAGCAUGUAUUUCAUCUCGUUUUUUGUUAUUGUUGGGCUUGUCAGCAUGCGAGAUUAAAAUUCAUGAAAGCCUAUCUGAGGCUCUGAGUAGUCCGUGUACACGAAAUGCAUCAAACAAAUAGACGAAAAAGGACAUAACUUUCUACAAAAAAGGGCUUUUAGUUGUCCUAAAUGCCUGAUUGUAUUUCCACUAAAACUUACUAGCUAGACUCCAUCAGAGUGCUUCCAUAACAUAAAUCGAAAUCGAGAUUACUAACCUUGCGAAAAAUUUCUGAUACCGGACCAUCCCUUUCUGAAGCAUCAUACUCCAGCUGAACCUUUUCCAGCCCUUUGCUAACUGCUUGCAUUUCCUCAGCCAACAUUUUUAGUUGUAUCUAUUGAAAAUUAACAGUUAGAAGAAAUAAUAUAUUUGCAAACACUUGUUGCAGAAUAUAUAUAUUAUACACAAUUGAUAACAUAUCAAGAAGAAACCCGAACCUUUGAUGCAGCAUCUAAACUAACAAGAUCGACAUAGAAGUUUAAAAGCUGUGGAGAUCUUGCAGCAAGUACCUGGCAUCAAGAAAUUGUUGUCAGAAUAUGAUAUUAAUGUUAAAAUAAUUUCACUCAUAUUACGGUAAAUUAGAUCAGGGCUACAAAGUAGUUACCAUCGAAUAGAGAAAUAAUCAAAUUGUAGGCUAACGUAGCAAGAACGCCUAUUAGACAAUUAGUUAUUUUCUUUAGGAGAGACAACUGAUUCAGUUGAUUUAACAAUGCACAAUCAGACAAAAGAAGUAUCAGGUGCAUUCAGAAACUUGAUGGCGCAUUGGUGGUUAUGAUAAUCUGCUACCCAUGGUUUCAAGUCAGACUGUACUAGGCUACUAGCCAAAGUUGCGCUAAUUAGGAGGAUAUCAUGGGCAGGUGUGCGGCCCUGUACCAGCUAUAUAUGUGUGACAAAACGAUGGAGGCAGUGUGGCUCCAUCAACCAAAAACUACUUACAAUUUGGAACGGAGGGAGCAGUACAUAAAUGUGAACUAAAAUUGCUACAGAAGGUGAAUCCCAUACCUUGCAGAGGUAGUGCAUUAGUGUCAUCUUAUUAUUUGUAGCCCGGGUAUCAGUAAGUUUUAGAAGACUGUCCAACCGGAAGCCAACCGCAGCACCUGUAAGCAAAUACAAUGCAAAGUGGUUAAUUAGUCUGAGAACAUUAAUAUAUUUAACCAUAGAAAACUGAAAGGAUGUCCGGUUAGCAAGAACCCAGCAUUUUAAAUUUUCAAUGGAGUACACAUGAUACUCCAACCGAAUAUGCUUCGUUUCGUUUCCAUGCUUGUUCACACAGUAAGACACAUACGUGAGGAAAUUAAAUCAAACAUGCGUUGGAAUGUUGUCCAUUUGUCCAUUAAUGAAAUGCAAUCUAAUUAUAGAACAUAUGAGGAUAUUUGUGCAAAAAUACAGUUCAUGGUGUGAGUCUUGAAUCUACUGACCUUUAUGAUUUCUUGCAUAAAGCCAUAAAAAUCCGUUAAGACUCUUUAUGGUGAGAAGAUUAUUGGUUUGAACUAAACAUUGUCUCAUGAAACAGAACAUGCUUAAUGAAUCUUUUGAUAACUAUAGAAGAUGGAUGCUAUGCUUGGCUAUGUAAUGCACCAUCAUGCCAUGACAUUCUCAAUUCAGGAGAAAUAGCGCUAUGAUCUUCUAGCCACAAACAGUCCUACUUAAGUUUGCCAGAAAUUUAUUAUGUUAAGUGAAAGUAAAUAAAUUUACUCUAGUGACAUGCAUUGUAGCCAAAAAAAUCAACAUAUCUUUCACAGGUACACCAUGUAACAACACUGCUACCCAUUUCAUAGUUCCUAACAAAUGCUUCCUUUUAGCUUGUCGAUACAAGCUAGCUUUUUAAAGACAAAACAAGCUACUUCAUAAAGAAAGUCUUAAAGCAAUCUAAUGCUCAUUGAUGUUAAGAAGCCCUUUCCAUAUUAACUAUUUGAGUCUUUGUUCCUAUUCCUAGGUUGCCAAGGGGCAAUUCAUAACAAUUAAUACUGUCCGUGAAACUGGAAGCCAAACAAAAUAAACAAACUUUUUGUUACCUCUAGCAGUUCCCUGGUUCAGCGUAUUCCCAAGGAGAAGGAUUUUCUUCAUUAUUUCUUUCAACUUGAUAGAACUUCGGAUCUGAUAAAGUAGAAUUCAAGUUAAUAGAUAGAACUCGGAACAAAAUUGGAAUUCAGUACGACCGAUUCUCAGCGUACCUCGUUGCACGAAGAGUCUAUGAUAUUCAAGCUUUUCCUAAGAUCUGCAACUUGCGAACCAAACUGGAUCUUGAAGGAGAACACUCGUAGCUUUGACUCCAUUCGUGGCACUUUCAUUAAUUCUAAGAAGAACUGCAACAGGAGAACAGUCCCUUGUAAACAUACAUAAUCAUGUAGUCACAUCUAAUUGUUGCAAUGUUAUGCAUAGCUCAGGGCAUAUUGAGUGCCGCGUGAUUGCCUUCAGAUUUCCCCCCCCUAAACAUAAUGACCAUAGAACGCCAUACGUAAGUAUAUAGUCAUUACCUGUUCACACUUCCCAAGGUUGUCCUUGUUUCCAGUGUAGUUCUGAAAAAAAAAAGAAUACGAUAUUGUUUUAGAAAAAUGAGAUCACCUAGGCACUAAAGCAACAUUGUACUAAAGUGCACCUUGAGAAGUUCCAUUUCUUCUUUCGUAGGACAAAACUUUAUGAGAUUCUCAACUUGAUCAACAUCCAACGUCGAUUGAUCCAGUGCCAAAGCUGCACUCUGGAGAAAAUCAGUCAUUAUACCAUGUCAGAAAUUAUAGAACAGAGAUAUUCCAAAUCUUCUGUACUGUCCGCAUUCUUACCACCAAAUCUGAGAGUGGCAUCUUCACUUUUGUCAGCAUUAUUUCUGUGUUGUUUGCCCUCCUCAGCUCGAUCUAUUCAGAUAAAAUGUCAGAAUAGAGAUAACAGACAGAUGGUGAAACUAAAUCAUAGCAGAAUAUUUAGGACAGAAGCAAUUGAAUUUUAUGCUAGAAGACUACUUACAUAAUUUUUAAGCAACAAAAAAUGACAUAGAAAUAAAAAAUGCAUUUUACAUACUUCAAAUAUCCUUCCAAGUGUGACCUCAUUCAUUGAUACAAAUUGGAAAGGUAAAUAGCAAGUACUUACCAGGUGAACCUUUUCUGGUUUUGAUCCAAGUGAUUUUCUACGUUCAGACUUUGAGCUGUCGUCAGACUUUGGAACUGCUGCUGGAAAAAGGCUUUCAAGUUCCGAUAAAUCAAACUCUGAAACACUGCAAAACAAUAAGUUCACAUCAUUCAGUAUGUAAGAACAAAAAUCAAAAGACCAUCUGUGUAAGCUAGUUGCACCAAUUUAAUGCCAAAAUCAUGACCUGAACAAUAAAACUAAUUUCAAAACAUGGAUUAAGCACACAACAAAAUCAUCGAAUCUAUUGUGUAUGUAACAAUAAGUUUAAUCUAGAUGGAAGGACUGCAAAAGAACAAACAAAAAAUACCUCUGUGAGUCAUCAUUGCGUUGUAAUUCUUCCCACAGACUACCUUGCAGGGCCCUGGUCACUUUGACCCAAUGCAGAGGCUUCAAUGUCGAUUUGCGUGAGGCAGCAGCCCCAUAAGCUGAUCCCAGAGGGCGUGCAGCCCCACGUCCUCUGCCCAAGGAAGGAUUACUUCCCGGUGGUGGUGGUACGCCUGGUGCUCUAGGUGGAGCUGGUGCACCUGGUGCACGCCCACCUGGGGGAGGAGGCGGAGGAGGGCCACCAAGACGCCCUCCAGGUGCAGGAGGUGGUGGGGGUGCUCUCCCACCACCUCCAGGUGGGGGCGGAGGAGGUGGAGCUCCUGGCCGUGAACCUGGAGGAGGUGGAGGUGGCGGUGCUCCUGGUCGUGAACCUGGAGGAGGUGGAGGAGGUGGAGCUCCUGGCCGUGGAGGACCUGGUGGAGGCGGUGGAGGUGGAGCACCUGCUCGUGCACCUGGAGGCGGUGGAGGAGGUGGAGGGCCAGGAUGAGCACCUGGAAGGGGUGGAGGGCCUGCACGUGCACCUGGGGGAGGAGGUGGUGGUGGGGGUGCUCCUCGGCCAGGGGGAGGAGGUGGUGGUGGGGGUGCUCCUCGGCCAGGGGGAGGAGGUGGUGGUGGGGGUGCUCCUCGACCAGGGGGAGGAGGUGGGGGUGGGGGUGCUCCUCGGCCAGGGGGAGGAGGUGGGGGUGGGGGUGCUCCUCGGCCAGGGGGUGGUGAUGGGGGUGGGGGUGCUCCACGGCCAGGGGGUGGGGGAGGUGGAGGGGGUGCUGCUGAAUGUGUCAAUGGAGGAGGUGGAGGAGGUGGAGGAGGAGCACUAGAAUAUACUGUAGGUGGAGGUGGUGGUGGCGGUGGAGGUGGACCAGAACGUGUCACUGGAAGGGGGGGUGGCGGUGGAGCGCUAGAUCGCAACGAUGGUGGCGGAGGAGGCGGUGGUGGAGGAGCGCAAUGUGCUGGUUGCGGAGGAGGCGGUGGUGGAGGAGCAGAAUGUGCCAUUGAUAGUGGUGGUGGCGGAGGAGGAGGAGGAACACUUGAACAUGUUAUGGUGGGUGGUGGUGGAGGAGGUGGGGGUGGAACACUUGAACUUAGCUUUGGUGGUGGUGGUGGUGGUGGUGGCGGCGGCGGUGGAGUUACCAUGUUAUUGUUUAGCCUUGGAGGAGGAGGUGGAGGCGGUGGUGGAGUAUUUCCACCUAUGCCUGACCUCGGUGGUGGGGGCGGGGGAGGAGGGGGAGGGGCAAAGGUCUGUUUUUGUGCUCCAGAAGACAUUGGUGGCCCCAUAGGCAUGGAACUCGAAGAAAAAUUAGGUGGAGGUGGAGGUGGUGGUGGAGGCGGAGGCGGUGGAGCUUCACUUCUUGAUGCAAUUUGUGCACCCAGUAAUGAGGAUCGUUGUGUAGGUGAUCGAGCAGACAACGUAGAUAUUGACUCUUCUGUUAACCGACUGUUAUAUGGUUCCAUCAGCGAUACUAGAGGUGCAUCGUUCACAGCAUUGAUUUUGCCAUCUGUAGACAAGGAUCGUAUAGCCAGUGCAGCUGGUGAACUAUAGUAUCUGGAUGGUGGAUGAGAUGGCCUAUGCACAGAGGUAGCAUCAGAUUCCUUCUUCGGUGAGAUCCAUCUACGUAUUGUUUUUGGUUUGGCAAGCUUUGGUUCUUCUGUCUGGGCUGCAUUGCCUGCUGCCAUCUUCUUCAACACUGAGGACACAGCUUUAUCAGGGAUUUGCCCUCGGUCAUCACUUCCAAACCUUGGGCUGCUUGCCCUUGCUUCUGUUCGACUUUGAGGAAGAGCUAUGCCAAGAUCCUGUUUGCCACCAGGACCCUCUCUCUUGGUUUUUAUUUCAGUUGCUACUUCAGUGGCUGGUAACACAACAAUUCUGUCAUGCACAUUGGUGUCCUUUGUCGGUAUGGUUUCUUCAAGGCCAGCCUCUAAUUUGCUCCGAUCCAAUUUGCCAUCAGCUCUAUCAGAAGGUUUGGCAGCUUUAAUAUUGCCACAACUGUUAUCUUGUGCAUUCCUACUCUUAAUAGUUGUUCUGCCUAUCUUAGGCAUGGCACUCAUCUCAUUGACAACAUUUUUUACUUCCUGUAUAAUGUUACCAUUCUCAACUAUAGUUUUCUCUUCAUAGAUCACUAGCUCAUUGUCCACAAUUACUGUGUUCUCAGUAAUAAUCUUGAUAUCACCAUUUUGCAGUCCUCCUUUUGUUGUAGUUCUCAAGUGCGUAUCCCCAUCUGUGCAUGACAAACUUCUAGGAGCAUCAAAAGUAGUGUAGUCCGAAUCAGGGUAUUUCAAAAUUUUUGUUGGCUUGUCGGUCUGGCAUUGAAUUUCAUCGCUGCAAGUUGGAUCGACUGUUGUGACUAAAGUUUGUGCAAUUACAUCUUUUGUGUCCUCCUGACAGAUAGAUCCGAAUUUGUGUCCUUCUGAAUCAACAGAUGUAGCAACCACCUGUAUGUCCUGCACAUCACUGUUCUCUUGGCCACCUGUGUGGUUUAAUUUAGACUUUGCAGGAUCCUGUUGGGCCUGCUGCAAACCUUCUGGGUUCUCAAAGCUUGAGGUAGGAGCACUUGACCCUUUCUCAUUCAUGCUACCAGAAUUCUGGGAGAUAACAGUCUUCACAUCCUCAUCAAUGCCGUGCUUCUCUAGGCUGCUCCUUUCUUCAUUUGCUACUGCACCAUCCAAUUCUGCAACGCCAUCUAAUGAUAAUCUACCAUCAACUGACUGAGUUUCUGGAUCCCUUCUAGCAUCAUGCCAAUACUCCUCUGCUUCAUAAAAUUCAUCUCCCGUAUCUACCGAAGCAACAUCAGUCUCAUCCCCAUCAUCAGCUACCUCCACUGUGGUGACAGCAGGCUUGAAUGAAUCAGGGUCCGAAAAAAGUACCUGGUUCAAAAGUGGGGCAAUAUUUUAGGUUUCUCUGUCCAUAGGACACAGAUAGGAAAAGAAGUGAAAGCCACACAGGGACAGAUGAAUUUAGUACCUCAGCUCGGAAGUCUCUUGGGAACUGAUUAUUCACAUUCCAAGAAACAUCGAUAUCAUCACGAUUCAAUCCAAGGAUGUUUGAUUGAAUGAAUGCAGUGUUGAACAUGACCCGGAACAUUGUUUCCUUAUGCUCUAGGUUAUCGCCCAUAUGAAUGCAUUCAAGAACCACAUCUCCUUGAACACGGCAGCAUGCACUGAUUUUUAUCGGUACUUCUGCCUGCAUUGUAACCAUAUAUCAGAGAAGAUUCUGGAUUUGCAUAGUGAUAAACAUUCUAUUAAAUUGGGAGAUAGUCACCUGUCCAUAACGCUGAAGAUGUUUCUUUGUCUUUGGCAUUUCAAAAAGGACCUUUGCACUCUUAUUACCAGGACUAGAGUCUUGCCCAUGUACACGCAAAUAUGGCCUGCAACCUCCUUCGGCGUCAAACCGCGGAACAACAUGGAGAACUACUGAAUCUAAGAUAAGGGUGCGGCUAAUAGGAGGCCAUUCUGAACCACUUCCUUGUCUUGUUAUAUAGUGCAGAUAUCUCAAAUGUGAAGGCUGAGGAUUCAACGGAAAGAACUGCUGUAUAAAGUCCCUGCGAGCCUGCUUGUAGACCAUCUCUAGUGUCUUCUGCUCACCAGUGUAUGUUUUCCGAUACAAAAGCAGUCCAGCCAACAUGAAUGCAAGAACUGGCCAUCCCCCUCUCUCACAAUGCAUCAAAAGCAUGUUAUGUUGUCCUUCCACUGAUAGCCAAUUUUCACAUGAUUUCAAGAAAUGGUGGAUCAUCUCAAGCUGAAGCAAUGGGCAUCCUUCAUAUUGUUGCGGGUAGUCCAUUACUGUCAUGUCAUACUCGGAUAAUAUAUCUGAAAUCCGGCUCCUCUUGUCCCCAGACCAGAAAUUGGAUACCAUGAAUGAUGCGUCCGGAAAAAAUUCCUGCAACUGCGCAACAAUGCCGCUCAAGUAAUCCCGGUACUCAUCCUCACCCAUGGAAUCGGUUGAGAAGCAGCAGUCAAACACUGGAAAAAAAAACAUCCAUAGAUAUUUGCACAAUCAGAUACACAUAUUUGCAUUGUUCACCCAGUACCCCAGAAAAUCAAAAAGGGAUCUAGCACAUUAGGUUAGUAGCACUAGCACCUUAAUUUCCACCAUUGCAAAUAUCUUUACAUUUCACAUUUCCACACAAUUCAAGUAUUCCAUUCGCUUUAUUUCAAUGGAUAAGUGCAUCAUUAUAGCUAACUAGAUUGAACAAUUGAAUUUGUGGGCAUGCUUCAGGUGGAGUAGAACAUGCCAAUUUAAGACAAAUGCAGUUAAACCCGAAGCUUCCUAAAGAGCAAACCUCCAGAAACACCACCAAAUUCAUAGAAGGAAACAAAUAAAGCGAGUUAAGCCAAAUGCAGCUAUAAAUCUAAAGACCGUUUCCACGCCUCCAAACCCACAACCAUACCAAAUGCCAGAAUCCAAUUCAAAAUCUACUAAAACUAGCUGCUUACUGUCAGCAAUUCUGCUUCCAAAUGCGCCGAAUCCCAGCUCAAUUAAACUCCAAUAAAUGAACACACCACCAAAAUUCGAACCCCAAAAACAAGCGGAAGCCGGAAAAUCCUCCGCAGAACAUGAAACACCCACGCGAAUCUCACACCCGCACGAAGCAGCUGGACCGAGAGGCGAGAGCAUUAUACCGUAGACGCGCUCGGAGAUCUCGAGCAGCCGGUCCGGGGUCUUCUUGAGGAAGAACUUGCGGAAGAGCGCCAUCCUCCCCUUCCUCCUCCCCCUCCCCCUCCUCCGCCUCCCCUCCCGCCGCCUCUCCGGCGCCCGCCGAGCUGCUGUGUCGCCUCAGGCGGCCACCGAUCGGCUCCGAUCGGGGCGCCAAAGGCAUGAGGGGGACGCGCCCGCCGCCGCCGGCGAGCUCCGGGGCGGCGCCGCCGGGGAUCUCGGGAUCCGCGCUCCGCCUAGGGCUCCGCCGCGGCGCGGCACGGCGGGCAGCAGCGGCAGCAGCAGCGAGGCGCGGUGGUGGGACGGGAGGCGGCCGAGGUCGAGGCACCGUGGGAUUGGGACGCCUCUUCCUCUACUUACUGCUGCCUUCUUCUCCUCGCUUAGCUUUAACUCUUCCCCUCUUUUUUUUUCCCCUUUCCUCUGCUGCCUCUCGGCUCCCGCUAUCGUUUCCCGAGUUUUUACCGCUACGACUUGGGUUUUAGUCCUUUUUUGUAUUUUCGCUUGCCGGUUUUUUACUCGGCUUGCCGCCGUGAAUGUUUCCGUGACAGCGGUGAAGGCCGCGCGCUUCCUGACGCUGGUUUCCUCGCUUUUGUCCCACUACCAUCCGGGACCCAUGCUAGUUUGGACCCACAUGUCACUUACUCUACCUGUGUUGGCCGUGAACGGGAUGGCGUGCGUGGAGGAGCGGAGGAUUAGGCCUUGGCGGCUGUGUCGGUACGGGCGUCUCCGGAUUUUCCCUUCCGGGCGACGGGAUCUCACCUGGUUAGCCUUAGUUUUACCGCGACGCCCCUAUCUCAAAUUUAUUUUUUAAAUCGCCCAGGCUUGCUGUUUUGGGGAGGGUCACGUGACGGCGGUCAAUUUGUUUAGCCGUUUGUACUGAGAGGGAAUUUAAGCGCAGUGCAUGUCUGUCCACGGCUGUCAUCAGCUCAGAGAAAUUUUUUGUUAGCAUGCUGCAUGCAUGUCAACGGUUACAUUUUCAGAGAGGGGAUGGAAAAGGUCUGGUUUGGAGAGCUGUCACCGCAUCAUGCAUUGAUUAAUGUAGUUCUUAAUGAUGCAUUCAUCGUAGGCAGGAGUACCAUUUUGAUGAGAUGGAGAAGACGCAACAGUCUUCUUAUUUGAGUUUAUCUCGUGAUCUAUUUUGGAAAAUUUUCAUUGCAAGCGAGCAAUAUCUUGCCGUGGUAAAUAAAAAUUGUAUUAGAAUCUUAACAUGCUAAUCAAGUGGUGAUCAGACUAGUAUGGCAUAGGGGACAACAUUUUUCCAGAUUGAUGGACAAAGAUGUGUUUUAUGCUUCAAAAUCAUUAUAUGGGCAACUAAAAAAAUAUGACCACGGUGGACCCGGCUUCAAUUGAAUCUUCGGUGGUGCUGCUUCCAUUCCAUCUGCACUCAUAUGCAGAACACACACAAGUUGAAAUAAAUUAAAUCACCAGAAUAAUUGAACAGCAGGAGCCUAUCGGCCUCGGCCCUAUCCUAUUCGGAGAACUUCACCAAACGUCCAGGACCAGGACCAUCCAGCCAUCCAGCUCGCACGCAGAGAUCCGCCAUCCUCUCCGAACCGACGGCCGGGAUCCCCUGCGUCCCAGAAACGGACGGCUAUCCCUGCGGCCCCGCGAUCCCGCGCGCACGAUGCCAUGCGGAGGGGAGGGAAGACACGUGCAGGGCAACGGGAAAGCGAGCGCGCACGCCGGCCUGGCUGGCCGGACGUGGGAAAAGCGGCCACGGAACGGAACGGGAGGAAAAGCGCGCGGCUCGAUUCAUUUCUUACCACGCUGCCGCGCUGAUGCGAACGGCUUUGGACGGGAGGGAGGGAGGCAGGCCGCGACGGAUGGUUUGGACGGGAGCCUGAUGGCGAGACGGCAGCCGAGCCGCCGAUGCGAAUAUCCUUGGCCACGUCUCUGUGGCCGUGGAUAACAGAUUAACAGGGUAACGGGUAGGUUGUUCCGUGGCUGGGACGUGGGAUAUAUUCCACCGUUCGUCUCGAGUGCCCUGGGAGAACGAAAUGUUUUAGGGAGGAAUUCGAACUUGAGUUUCAGAACCCAGCAUUAUUUUCACGUAACGUAACCGAAAUUGACCUCCAGAAAACGACUGAAAAAUGAACUGCGGUGAUUUUCGAGGUUAAAGAAUUUUCCGCUCCUUGUUGUCAUUUUCGUCACCGGUAUGCGGUCACUUCUGACUAGGAACGUAAACGUUGUUCCCAGGAGAUCGCACGGACGAAGGUCUCCACGUCUCGGGCAAGUUUGGGCCGUGUGGCGGGCAGCAGCGCCGCAGGCCGACCGGCAUGAUGUCGCGCGCCCCCACCAACGUCUCGAGCUCUCGAAUCGCGAUCGUGCUUGUGUGCAUGGGAGCGUCUGCACGGGUACGGGGUACCCCAUCCCAUCACAUCGCACGCGUCUCGUGAAAGCAGCACGCGAGCCAUUGUGCAUGCACCGGAUUCAGUGCCCCUAAUCAGCUGCCAAUUAACACAAGAAAUUAUUAGCCCAUCUUCACUUGUUCGGAUCGAACUUAUGCAUAAAGUUUUUCCAAUACUGUACUCCUACAUUAGCUUCCUAAAAUGAUUUGAAGCAGUAACCCGUCAAGUUAUCAGCAUAAUAGGAAGGUCAUGUGCAUCCUCGCUUUUCAUGCUCUACUACCUAAAAAGUAAAAAAUGAGUCAAUUCAGCAAAACCAGUUUGUACGAGUACUCCACCUGCAUGCAUGCUUAUUACAGUACUCCUCCUUGGCGUUCUUGAUGAAACUGUUCUUGGGGGCAUAUAAAAAAAAACUCCACCAAAAGGAGUUCGACCUCUAGCUUCCAUCCCGAGAGUUAAAGGUCCAUUAUUGUCUCAUUAGCAUCUGGGACGUGCAACAAUUAUUACCGUUACCAAACAUAUUACCAGUGCCUUUUUCGAAAAAAACAUUACCAGUGCAGUACUAGUGGUACUGCUGCUGCUACAAAUUAUCAGCUGAUUGUGGCUCCGGAGAAAGGCGAACGGUGAACUGGUCUCUGUGUUUCUUUUUGAUGGACGUGUCUUUUUAUUAGAACCACAAGAGCCUACGAGUUCUCCCUCUUUGGUCACAGCCUCGCAGGAAGAGCGUGCGGCAACUGUGGCCACGGAUGAGCCAAUGAGUAAACCGAUGGGUCUGUCCAAUUCAUUCCCGCCCGUGACGCUAUCAGGCCAGUUAACACAGAGCUUGCUUGCUACUGAGAGAGCUAGUCUAAAAGUUUGUGAGAUAAGAAAAUGGAGAAACAAAGGGAGAAGGUCCCUUGGUGCACAAUCAACCGUGACAGGCUGCCUGCCUACGAUGGUAUGGAGAUCGACGAUACCGGUAGCGAUUGACAGGGGAGGCCCACGUUCCUUUUUCUCGAGUGUCGGAGACAGCGACUGUGGUUGGGGCUUGGGAGUACUGGACCCACGUGACUGUCACUCCUCAUAUCAUGCUAUAGUGGUAGCUGGUGUCCACAUGCGCACAACACAGCUCAUCACUCUCCGCCGAUUAGCAGCGUCCAAUAAUCAGCUCAGUUCCUCCUCCUUUGAUUAACGGCAGGCGACAAGGGACCAGGAGCACUGGCGCCACUGGUACAGAACACACAGGAAGCAGAGACGCUCGCUCCUAGCGCGAGAAGAAAGAUCAACCGAACCAGAACCACUGAACCGAUCGAGCGCAGUCGUUAACUAACUGCUCGUGCUGAUGCUGUCAUGCGCGGACGGACGGCCAGGGCGCGAGCAGUGCGCGGCGAUCGCCUGCCUGCAGUCUGCGGAAAGUUCGGCAGUGUCAGCGUCAGCCGGCCACUCCACAGUGUCCAGGCGCAUGCAUGCCGUUGCCGGCCGCGGCCAGCCCCCGAUCGGCGACGCUGCUGCCGCUGAAACGUGGGCGCAAUCAUGGAGAACGGCAGUGUCAGCGUCGUCCAGCUUUUUUCCUCGGAGCGUCGUCCUCCAGCUUUUUGCCGAGAACGUAGGCGAGGGGAGGCCGUGCGCGGACCACGCAGGCGCAGCCGCGUCCGUAGGCACGAGCAAGACGGACGGGUGAUCAUCCUCUCUCCGAUGACCAUCAAACAUAUCCCGAUCGAGGCCGAUCGAGGCCGGCGCGAGCGAGCAGAACAGCGAUGGGGGCGCGGUCGGCACAUGCCGGUGUCGCCCCGCUUUUUCAGCGCUGCUAGUGCUAGGCGACAACCGGAAUAUUAGCCAACUAUGGUCUCGUGCCAAGGAUAAUGCCCCAGCCCCGCGCGGGCCAGCCCAGCACGCGAACGUGCGCCGCGCCGCGUACUCGCCCCGCCGGCCGGAUCGGCACGGCAGCGCGUCGCAUUUACGCACCAGCGCCACCGCGCGGUGCCCCAGAUCCCUCAGUCCCUCACCGUCUUCUUGCUCCUGUUCUUGACUGCGAUGCGGGGCGGGGCGGGGCGGGGCGGGGCGGCGCAUUGGUGGUGGUGUUAAAGCCCGCGUGACAUCUGAGUCCAGUUGCGAGGACGAGCAAGUACGCGGCGGAGGCGGAGGGGGAAAGCGCCAUCACUUUCGUGUUUCGUUCGGUCACCCGAUCUACCGCAGCCGCGCGGCGGGCUCUCUGAUCUCUGCCUGCUCCUGUGUCCUGUCCGGCCGUCCCGAGUCCCGACCCAAAAGAAAGCGCCGUCGCUUUCUGCUCCUCAACCGCGGCCGGCAGGCGGCAGGGACCGUCCGUCCGUCCCGCAACUCGUCCUGCUGCAGCCACAACCGCCGCGGCCGGCCGGCACGCCCCGUGCUCCGUCACCGUCGUCGCUCCCUCCCGCCCGAACCGAGCCACGCGUGAUCGGUUCCUUCCUCUCUCUCUCUCUCUCUCUCUCUCUCUCUCUCUCUCUCUGUUUGAGAAAGGCGUGAUCGGUUCCUUCCGGCUUCCUCGCAACCUCGUGUUGCAGGACCAGCCAACCUGGGCCUCGGCCGGUUAGAGGCCCGCGCAAUGCAUCCAUCAUCCAUCCUGCGAGUUGCCUUCUCAUCUGGGCCGCGCGGCCUAGAAGGCUAGAAAGAGCCCGUCACGGCUGAGAGUCUGCCGCGUGGGUUCUAGUCACAGUCCCAGUUCAGAGCGGCUUGUUCUGGAAGCAGUCCACCAUUUCGAGGAGCACAACGUCCGACUGGCUCGCUUCAGACUUCAGACUUCAUCAGAGUUCAGCGGUUGAAAUGCCAGGCAACGCUGAACACCUGAACCAGACCAGAACACACGAGCAUGACGCACGUUCCGUUCCAUUCUCACCGAGGCGCCAGCGUGAACAGAACUUGAAUCGUUGCCAGCGAGAGAUCCAGUACUUCAAUCGUACAGCAGAGUAUGAGCUCAACGAACGACCAUUCCAUUUAUACCUUUGCAGCAGUCACACCAAGGUGUGGUGGCUAACUGGCUAUUGGCUCCAUCUGCACUCGGAUACGCCUCCUUUGGGCAUGUAUGUCAACGGCUACGUUCUCAUGGAGGCAAGAAGUCUUCGUGGUGAGCUGUGCCUACGUUAUCAUGCAUUGAUUAAUGUACUUCUUAACUGCGCAUUGAAUAUAGGCAGGACAUGACUACCAUUUGUGUAACACGAAUUUGUACUAGUAUUAUCUUUUGAGAUGGAGAAGACAGAGUAAUCUUCUUACUAGUCGGACUUAGCUUAUGGGUUGUUCUGGAAUUUUCAUCACUAGCAACAUGUAACGGAAGCAUGCAAAUUGAAGUUACAGGCUUAUCAUGCUAAUCGGAGAUACAGUCACACAGAAUCGUGUCUUGUGGCUCCAGAGUUCAGGCUUGCGGAGUUGCGGUUGCAAUUGCCAGAGACGCUGAACCACCAAGAGGCAAGAACACAGCGACAUGAUGCUUUCUUGGUUCCUUUCUCACCAAGACGCCAAACGGAGCAGUUGGAUCGAUGGUUGCCAAUGAGAUACUACAGUGCGGCAGAGUAAGAUGACAAAUUAUUCGAUUUUACCUUUUUCUUUACAAAGGCUACCUACAACAAUCACGCCAUUGUGCGGUGGUUAUUGGUUCCAACUGCACAAUGGUCUGAAUGUUUGAUCAACCACAACGGCUCUUCAGCUGUUAACGGCUCCCUCUACAACAAAAAGGACAAAACAUAGGCGUCCUCAGGGAAUCUACAAUACACGCCGAAGUCAUACCAAUCUAGUAGAGGUGAAGUUUCUCAAAUUUUGCUGUGAGCGGGGAUCAUCUAAAUCCAUCAUGUUUUUUAUGUUUUCAGUCAACAAUUCCAUCGUCAGCAGCAGUUGCCAGCUCCCGGACUUUGACAGCAAAUGCCCAUCAGAAACUGGCAUGCUCUCCACUUCUCUAUGCAUCAAGCUUCUCCAAUCAAAAGAAAUGGUCAAGCUUUUGCUCUCACUUGUCCAGCUUUCUUCCUGCCAUCAAAUAAUCAGGCAACCAUCAAUUGUGAUUCACGUCUGAUUAUCAGAACAAACAACGGGGGCAAUGGAAAGAGAUAAGGUAUCUACAAACUCUGAAACACAAUUACCUCUCCUGAACCAUGAUGUCCGAACAACUUGUCGGAUGUGUCGCUCAUGCUUCUGUAACAGUUCAUCGACCUUGUGUGACUGGGAUAACAAGGGGCCUGAGUACUCAACCUUCUCUUCUUGAUCAUGGUCGCCCUGGAGUUUCAAAUGGCACGUAGUUACCACUUAGUUGGUAUAAAAGUGAAGCUAGUAUAAAGAAAAUUAUUGACUCAACUCACCUUGAAACUAUUUUUUGAUGAGACAGUGCCCCCGAGAAACAUCGCGUUUGAGAAGUUCUGAGAGUGGUAAGUGUCACAAGAAUCGAAUGAAUCUGGACGCUCUAACUGUGACCACUUCUUCAGGACUGCACGCUUUGCUACAUCAUGAGGCUCCCGGUCUUGGAUCUUGGAGUUGGUGCGAGAUAUUGAUAUGGAUACAUCUCUGCUAGGUAGCUCCCUCAGGCCAACGUUCUCUUUAGCUUGGGACUUGCUGUCCUGAUCAGCCUCACCAGGAAAUUGGCCUCUUGAACUAGAUCUGGUCCGUGAUCUAGCAAAAGAGCGAUCCUCCUGUGGUCUUUUGGCCCAUGCAAAACCGCCAGAUGAAGAAACACUCAAUGGUCCUGAGAAAGGGACUUCCUCUCGUGUGUCGUUCUUAAAAUGCCGAGACCUUUCUCUAACUUGGACCGGUAACACUGGUGGUAUGUCGGUAAAUAGCCUAGCAUCGCCAUUCAGCUUCACACGAUCCUGUAUUGCUACAUCCUUGGUUCCAUUUACACUAGUUUUGGACUCCUGAAAUAAAUAGAAAGCAUGAGGUUUGAUGACUAAUGUUACCAUCAAAUUAAAUAUUCAUACAGCUAGGCCAAAUAGCUCUGCCGAUAACAUUUGGUGAAGGCAUCGAGCCAUAGAAAAAAAGAAGAAAAUAUACCUCUUUGUUACUUAUUUGCUUAGGGACUGCACUAGGUUCUCUUGCUACUCUGCUGAGCCUUGAGGACUUCUUGGAUGCUUCUGUCCCGUGCCCUCUGCUACUGGCUUUUCUCCUGAAAUGAAAAAGAAUGAUACAGAUUAAGGUUGUUAUUGACUAUGGCACUGUUCAAAUUAAUAGGGAAAACUUCCAACAAGUUCUGUACUGAUAACAACUCAAUAUGUUUCGGUGUGGGGAGCUGCUUAGCAAAAGAUGAAUUUUCAAUUGUAAAACAUAUGUCCAGAAGCUAAUAAUAAAUAACAGAUCCUAAGUUGCUGACUUCCUUUCAAAUCCCACCUGAGCGCAUCUUCUCGUAAUUUUGCGUCCAUCUCUUUGUUGGGUGCAUAUUUAGGCAAGCUCGAAGGAUCACAUGCAUAAGGUUUUGUCCUGAAAAACUGUACAAAAAUAAAAGGAAUAAAUCACCCAAUAUCAUAAGCAGUGCAAUUCUUAUCAAAUUUACAGUAUGAACAAAGAAAGAGUUUUUUCUUUUAUCGCACUAAACCUAAGAAUUUCUUGCCCAUAUGCUAAUGCCAUGUAAAAUGAUGGAGGCAUCAAGCUAAAUGCUUAACACUAAUAUUCUGCAUUGUUCUUGAAGAUUUAGUUUAUGAUUGCAAUUUGGAUGAUCUACUACCCUAAUAGCUAGAACAUAUGUUCUAUUCUUGCAUUAAGUUUUCCUAACAAUAUACCUGAUAGAUAACAAAAGAAAAGGGCAGUAGAAUAGAAUUAGAGGAUUUCAACAAAUCAACUACUUAAUUUCCAAAGACCAAAUACGCUAGUUUUUUCAAUUCGUCGCCAUUUAUACAAUAAGAAUAAAGGAUACUACAUGAUGCAGUCUUACCUCAGAUGAAAGAGCACCUGCUGCAGUACCACGCUUGUAGGGCUCAACCGACAGAAGAGUUUCUAGUAAACUCAAUGCAUUUCCUGGUACCUCUUUAAAAACAUCUCGAAGAGUACUAGGAUAUGGAUGAUGCGGUUUAAAUAUUGUUGCAUGAGGCAACUUCGACUUCUUCCAAUAAUCAUCUGCAGGGGAACCACAUAGCUUAAAAAUCUUGUGCAGUUGUUCCACCUGAAAAAUAGAAGAGAUUCUUAUCAUAUUUACACACAAGAAGCAAAAUCCAGAGAAUUUAGAACUCCUGACAAACUAAAGUUGGAGAUUUCUUUUGUAAAAAAAGAAAAUAGAAAGAGGGCACAAAAUGAAACUUGUGUUUCCUAAUGAAAUAGGAUUGGAGGAAAACAGCAAGUACAGAAUUUGUUACAGAACCAGAUCCCACAAAAGUAUGGAGUAUCAGGCAGAUCUGCUGCAGGAAAUGAACUCUAUUAACUAAUGUAACCAAUUAGUUACCUCGGUUCUUCCUUGCAAUAUAGGUUUCCCACGGAACAUCUCAGCAAAUACACACCCAACACUCCACAAAUCAACAGCUGCAUCAUAGUGAGUUGAACCUAGUAGCAGUUCAGGUGGUCGGUACCACAGUGUAACAACACGGCUGGUCAGAGGAUGGUUUUUGCUGGGAUCAAAGUAAUUAGCAAGACCAAAAUCAGCAAUCUUUAGAACCCCUUCGUUAUUCACGAGCAGAUUUGCACCCUUGAUAUCACGAUGAACUACACGACGUGAAUGGCAAUGCUCCAGCCCUGACAGUAACUGGUUCAUGUAGCACUUGAGCUGCAGUAGGUGACUGUCAGAAAAGGCCAGGCCAACACAGUGUUGAACUGAAGGCAACAAAUGUGCUUGAACAUACCUGUGCAUCAGUGAAUUUGAUGUCCGGGGAGGAGCAAAGUCCAGCAAGAUCGUGCUCCAUGUAUUCAAAAACUAGAUAAAGGCUGCAUGAUAACCGAGAAGUAAUCAAGCCUUCCAGUUUCAUGACAUUUGGAUGAUCAAGCCUCCUUAAUAUUUGUAUCUCCCUUGCCAUGAAUCUAACACUCUCUGGCUCAAAAUUGUCAAAUCGCACCUUCUUAAGGGCAACAAUCUUUCCCGUCUCAAGUUCCCGUGCCCUGAAUACACUGCUAUAAGUGCCUUGCCCAACCUAGACACAAUGCAACAAACAGAAAUGGUCAGACCUUUAGAAGGCACAGAAAACAUGUAUCUAAAUAAAAUAUCAUAUAUACAUGGAGAAAAGAAUGCAGGUUCUCGUUCAGCAUAGAAGGCAGUGCAUACGAUGCACACCAGAAAUUGAACCUGUAUUCCAGAGUUUUAUUCCCCUUGUUGUUUCCCAAUUAUCUCUCCAUGGUACGGUGAUCACAUAGAAGAAAUGGUAUAAAGAGAUCAAUUCCCUACCAGAAAAGCAUUUCAACAAUGGAGACGACGAGGCCAUGUGAUGCCUCACCGAAGGAGACACCGGAUCAAUCAAGUCACAUCCCUUUUAUCCCCUACAUCCUCAUAACAAUUGUCGAUUAUACUAGUUUAUUGUUCAUGUCGUAAUCCAUCACCAACAAAGUACUACUAACAAACACAAUGAUAAAGGACACCAGAAAGAUACCAACCAGUUAGACCAAAUUACAGUCCCAACAACUACCAUCCUUCUAAAAUUCCACAUGCACGCAAAAAUUUUGCCACGGAAAAUGACCCACGAGCUAUUGAGCUGAAUCAGUCACGAAAUCUGAACCGAAAUGAAAUCACACAGGAAACCUCAGCCGAAAGCUCCACAGUACCUUCUGCAGCUUCUCGAAGGAGUCGGCCUUGAGCGGGAUCCACCCCUGGAUGGCCUCCCCGGCGACGGCGCUGAGCCACGGUGGCCACCCGGCCGCCACCUGCUCCCCCUCCAGGCUCUUCCGCAGGCUCCGCAGCCGGAAGCUCCGGGACGCGGCCGGCACGACGACUGCAGCCUUCCCGGGCUCCUCCGCCUCGUCCUUGACCUUCUCCGACCUCCUCGCCGCGUACGACGAGCUGCGCAGGGAAGACACGACCGCCGCGGGCACCGGCAACGGCACCGGAGCCGCGGACUCAUGGGCGCGCGGCUGGCUCCGGUCCCUGAUCGCGCCGGACAAGUCGGCCGCCGGCGUCACCGAGACGGCGUUCUUGGACGCGACGCAGCCCAUCGCGGCGGCGCACUACCACCAGGCGCCACCAACCAUACGCCGGGCUCGCGCACGGGCACGGACCAGGACCAACGCGGCGAUCUUUAAGAGCCCGCUCCCCCCCUCUCUCUCUCACGCCAGCAUUGGGCUGGGAGCCGGCGGCCGCGGCGCAAAGAAUCAGGAACUGGAAAUUUGACCCCGUCGCCCGCCAACCACAGGCGUCACGGGUCGAGCACGGCACAAGUCAAGAACAAGCCGGGAGGCCCGGGAUUGACCUGGAAGACUAAUUAACGAUUCGACUACGACGCGACGCGAGACAUCUCACGAAAAGAAAGAGAAGAGGGGGCGCGCGACUUUGUUGAACACCACUGACCGCCAACCCCCGUCGACGGACGGACCACGACGGCGACGCCUCCCCGUGAUCGCGAGGGGUGGUCGGUCGGGUCGGGCGGACAGCGAGAGAGAGAGCGCGCGCGAGCACGCACGGAGCACCCGUUGCGGCGAGCGGAAAAAGCCCACAGCCUUUUCCCGCAACCGCAAGCGCGGGGACAGAUCAAGAAGCCACCAGAAUUACCGGCGGCGAAGCCCGGAAUUGGGGCAGAGGAAACGGCGCAACAGCCGAGAACGGCGAAACCGCGUCCCUCCGCCGCCGGAACAGAGAAGGAAGGCGUCAAAUUGGGCCGGAGAAACGGCAGCAGGUUGAUGGAAUGGAGCUCGCUCGAUCAGGGGAGGGGAAGGGGGGAGUGUGGUGGCCUGUGGGUGUGGGGGGGGAAUCGGAGCGGGGGGCUUAAAAGGUCGCGCCACGGGCCGCGCCGGGGGCGGGAGUGAUGAGAUUUUCCGCGCACGCUUUUCUCUUUUGGGGAGAGUGGCUUUGAUGAGGGAGCGCGACGCGAGUGCCUUUGCGACGCCCAGGCCUCGGCAACUCGGCAAGGCGCCGCGCCCCUGUUCUUGUAGCGAGAUUAGCGGGGGGUGCGUAGGGCCCGACCACCACGCCGGCACAGCCUUUUCAAUUUCGCGAAAGUUUUCAGGUUGAGCCCUGGGUUUUCCAGGUAUUCGGGCGUACCAUACCAUACCAAACGAGAAUGCCAAAUUCGUGCAUCGCCCAAGCAGUACGGCGCAGUCCGUACCAGUUCCGGACGGCCAUGCAGACGCAGUGCAGCCACUGGACGGACGGGCGCGGUCCCGGCCCGCUUGAAUGCGAGGCGAUUCUCGUUGAAACCGGAUCGGAGCUGAAACGAAACGAACGAUUUGAGCACUUGAUUAGCGGCGAAAACUGCUGCUUCGCCGUCGCGAGACGGUGGCCCCCUUCCAAAAGCGUUGCCGGCAGCAGAUGAUCAAAGCCCCUCCGGUCGGGGAGCCCGGAGCCCCCGGCCAGCGCGAUCAGCCAGCUCACUUCACGAUUCACGUCUCGCGCAGGGUCCGCCUCUCCCCCCUGUUUUUUCGAUUGGCUUUCGAGGAUUUUCCCCUCGGAGACGCCCUGGGUUCGCCGGUCCCCGCCGUUGCCCUUUAUCCUUUCCUCGUCUCUCCAACUCUACUUUCUCCGCGGCGCGGCGAAAAGGUGGCCGCAGGGGGGGGGGGGGGGCAGGUGGCCAGGUGCCCCGCCCUGACGCCUGACCUCCCCUUCUUCCCCUCUCGGCCCGUGACGAGACGAGAGAAUAGAGACGAGACGGAUCCACGCCACCGACCCGUCCCCUCACGCGUCAACCCGCCUGGCCCUGGUCGCCGCGGCGGUGCGAAGGGGACGGGACGCGCACGAGAGGCCGCCGGACUGGUUCCUGCUGCCUGCCGCGCCCCGGCGCCCGUGUAAACGGCGGCCAACUAGUCAAGCCAGCCCGGCGCGUCCGCAACGCUGCCUGCACUGCACGCGCGGACGGACGGGAUGCUCACUGAUUUCGGCGUGGAAAAAUCGCGCGCCAAGUGCCAGCGCGCUCUGUCCCCGUGCGCCUGCCAUCGGCCACCCCUGCGGCCAUGCUGAGCACUGUGCAGCUCUGCCCUCGGCUCGGCGGCGCCAGUUUCUGCCGCCUUUCUGGGGCAUCUUUUGUUGUAUCCGGAAAUGGGCAAACGGCGCCACGCCCACGCGUACCAGAGAUUCCACUGCGGAAUUUGCUUUGUUUUGUCCCGGUCUGCUGUGUCCAACGGAGUUGACAACAGCGGUCAACUUUCACGAAAACUAGUGCAGCAGGAAUGCCCUAACCUACAGCUUGUUUUCACCCCUUUCUAGAAGUAAUCUUUGUUUUUUAGGCUACCUGCUGCAUCACUUUAAGAAAAAAUGAACAAAUAAAAGGUAAAAAAUAAUAAAAAUUCUUGUUUAUUUUGGCUCUCUUGGCGCAAAAUUAUAUUUGCACAGCGGGCAUGGCUGCAACAUCUAGCAGCUCAUGAAGCUGCUUUGGUAUAUUGCCAAACUACCAACUGCCCCGUCCAAAAUAGUACCCACACAGAGUAAAUUUGACAUGACAUUUGAUUUGGAACUGUCCCACAAUCCAAUUUUAAACUCGACGUCUAUCUCCACCAGCUGUCGAGCUUGGUCAACACAAGAAGAUCUCGAAAACAAACAGAUUCGGCCAGAAUUGCGUCAAGCAGCUACAGUGCAGUUUAAUGGAGGUUAGGUUGGAAGCUACUACCUCGCACCCUCAAAAGGACAGAAACCUAGUUGCUGCUCUUAUAUAUAAAAAGAAGAGUUAAACACGUCGAGUGGGCUCAAAUUAUUCAUUUGGUAACAACAACUUAUUCAUUUGGUAACAACAACUUGAUACGUGGUGUGGAUGGAUCAUCGGGACGACACAUGGGCCAAAAAAUACCACGUCGGCAGUUUAUGUGUGCAAUUGGCGCUUACAUGUAAAUAAAACGUGGACAACACUAUUGCAAAUUAGCCUUUAUUUAUUUAUUACUCCUUUUUUAAUUGGAAUUGCACAUAGGUAGCUUAUAUUGCUAAAGAAGUUUUGACGGAGAAACAGAAACGAAAACCUAAGACUACAGAUCAGGACACCUCCUCUCCUCUUGUUGCUCCCUUCCUUGAACUGGAUGGCACAUCAGCAGCCCAUUCUUUUUGCAGCAGCAGCAGCAUGCCAAUAGUCACAACUGGGCAAGAAAGGAGGUGCAACUACAGUUGGGGACACGGAGGGGCGCCGGCAGCUAGGAUGAGGGGGCGGCAAGCAACAAUGGGCGUCGGCUGGAGCAGCACUAGGGGCCGUUGGCCACCAUUAGCAGCAUUAGAGUGAGAAUAAAGAUGUGUGCCAUGGAUAAACAGAAAAAAGGGAGAGCCGGAGAGGGGUGGAAUCGUUCCCCUUCUAGUAGCUUCAGGAUGAGAGGGAGAAUAAAAUUUUGAAUUAUUUCUACCAACUAAACUUUAUGUACGCGUAACUUCAUGAUUUGAGAUCCAAAACUACAAGGGGUAGUCAAACGGAAUGGAUUUGAGGAGCUCUACGCAACCACGGUUUUCGACCGUCCAUUUGAGCAAUGAAUCAAAAUGUCAAUAUUUGUGCUUAUACAAUGCCUGUGGUUAGGAAAAACAUAUUCCUUGUUCGUUUACAAAAUUUUAUUGCACCUCGCAAAUUUUGGCUAUUUUUAAUGAAAUAUAUGAUUUUUAAAAAAAUUACAACAUUCCAAGGCUAAAAUAAAUCAUGGGAACAAAACAUGGAAAUGAAAGCAAUUCUCAAAUAAAUAUUAGGAUUAGCAAAAAAACAUUAGCUAACAUGUAAGAUGCCUAUGUGGCAUUCGUUGCCUACGUGUUGUUCCGGUGACCCAUCCGCACCCACCUGCUAAGUUGUUGUUCCGAUAUGAACAAUUUGAGAGAUGAUAUACAUAAGCGUACUCACUUGCUAAGUUUAUGUACUAAUGACGCAUUUAACUCUAAAAAGAAAUAGAUGUUACAAAAGUCCAAGGUGCAACCUCAAAGAAGAAUCAUUUCUGCGCAAACGUGCAAACCAGUUCCAUUUUACAAAACAAGUGCAAACCUGCUUAAUUGAUUUACAAUGUAUAUAAAAAUUCCUUUUGAAAGAUCUUCGCUUGAUUCCUUUAGGAAUUCUUAUAGAAUCAGUAUUUUCAGGCAUGUGUUUAGACUUUAGACAUUAACCGUUUCAAAAGAGUACCAGUAUGUACUCCUGCCCAAUAAACAUGAUCAUUCAAGUUUGGUCUGCAAAGGACCGCUACUUUUGGAAGCAUUUGCUAUGUUGGUCGGAUUCCAAAUGUGGGGAGGUCAAAUUAGGUCACGCACGCAGACAGGCAGUGCACUCUGCUUCUUCUUCCCUAUCCUGAUAGGUGUAUUGAAAUGUGAUUUAAAAGUCUAGUAGCUGGAGGAAAUUGUCUAACGAAGUGGAUUUUUGCCGGUCUAGUAGCCUACCGCGUGAUGGAUUAAGCAAAUAUUUUAGUGGUACUAACUGGUGUGGGCAUGUGAUGGGGGGACACUACGUGGAUUGGGUGUUGACGCAGAAGAACAGUUCGGCCGCGCAUAUAUCCAUAGGUACUGAUAAAAAAAUUAGGCCAACAGAUAUUGCAGCGUCUGAAGCUAAGGUUCACUGAAACUGCGUUAUGAAUUUUAAAUUCUGGUGGGAUCAGCCUGGGAUUUGGAACUCUCUGAUCUGCCGGCAGUGAUUGCUCAUCGCAAACAAUGUUGGUUUCCCCUUAAUCUCAGGCAUCCACUACUCAUAGAGAAUGAUGAGUAGUAUGAAUGAAUUGAAAAAAGAAGAAGAUUCUAUUGGGAGCACUACUGUCCGGCAAAAAAAGUACUUGAUUUCGUUAUGGGGAAUGUCCAUGGUGGCCAAACGACACUGUUCAGUGUUCAAGGCCCAGUGGCCCACUGACUGAAGAACUAGUAGCAUUAGCAUGGGAGUCAAAAAAUUAGAUUCGUGCCGAAUGUUUCUUUUACAUUUCUCCAAAAGCCAAAUCUAGGCCAAUGUCUUUUAGACCAUGACGAUGGACGAGACGAGAGUGGAAAGGCGCGCGGCCGAAGGAAGGUCUGAAACGGAGGGGAUCCCGUGUCUUCUACGGGGGCUGACUCCGUGCACGCCCAGUGGGGGACACUUGGACUCCUCUCCACGCGACCACGCCACGAGCCACAUGGAGACCGGCUGGCUGGCCCACUCGUGCUACUGUACACAGGCACUAGUGCUGUAGUGCAUCUAUACUGUCCACACUCUUUCCUCCUGUUCAUACGGGGGUGUGAAACAUACGGCUGCAUAAAAUGGGAUUAAGUUAAAGACUAACACCAGUUGUGAAUCUCGUGCGACUGUGAUGGGAUUCGAGCUCCAGUGUUCAUACUGCAAUUGCUGCAGGGAUUAACCUCAGGAUCUCCAGGUGUCUAGGUACACGGUACACCUCUCUCAAAAAAAGUAAAGUUGUCUAGGUACAGUCUGCAUGUUCACAGUUCACACUAAUGCAUUUCUGCACUCGCUCUUGAUUAUUCCAAUUUCCGAGAACUUCUUCCCGUGUUUUGGAUACAAGGUGCUAAACUUUAACAGUACCACGUCGGAUGUUCGGAUGCUAAUUAGAAGAACUAAACAUUAGCUAAUUAUAAAACUAAUUACAGAAUCCUGUGCUAAUUCAGGAGAUGAAUCUAUUAAGUCUAAUUAAUCCAUCAUUAGCAAAUGGUUACUGCAGCACCACAUUGUCAAAUCAUGGACUAAUUAGGCUUAAUAGAUUCGUCUCGCGAAUUACACUCCAUCGAUUAGUUUUGUAAUUAGUCUAUAUUUAAUACUCCUAGUUAGCAUCUAAAUAUCUGAUGUGACGGGUGUUAAACUUUAACAGCUUGGAUCCUUGCAAUCCGUUCUGGAGCAAUAAGAGAUGGCCGUGUUUUCACCAGCUCGAGCUGUGCCGGGGUGCCCUGACCGGAUCACUGUACUACCCCCACUGCGUUCGGCUCCUGUCCGUCUCAUCGUAAUAGCGAUGGCGCGGCACGGCAGAUUAGCGCGACGUCUCAAUGUUCCCUCUGAUAAUGCAACGAUGAUCGACCAGCUAAGCCCGGACAGUGAUAAGACGAUUCGUAUUAUUCCGUCGUCCUCGACAUCCAACCCCCAAUCUCUGUUGCUUAGAGAACACUCGAACACGAGCCCCCGUUCUCCUGUAAAAAAAAUCCGGGUAGAGCAGAGUUCUCUACAGCUCUAAACGUCACCUUCAUGAUCGAUCUGCGCUACGCGAUUAAUGUCCCUUGAAACUGCUGCGGAGGGGGAUGUGGACGGGAGGUUGGUGGCGAUGGGGUUGCCGGAGACUUUUUGGGGCCCGGCAGCUUUGAGUGGAGUCAGGCUGGGGAUGGGGAGCAGGCGGAGCUGGGCCCGUGCUGACUUCCAUACCUCGUCCCCUUCUCGUUCGGUCCGUCACGAGCGCCCGAGCUACGGGCCGCCUGAUUAAUGGAGUCGGCUCUGUUUGGUCCCCGGCCCGGUGAAUGCGUAGGCUGGUCUUGGGUUGGUCUGCGUCGCCAUUGUGCGACGCAGCGACGACAACACAAGAGACGAGAGAGGUCAGAGGUGCCCACAGCACUUCCAGUAAUGUCACCUUCAGGUAGCUAGCUACGGGAAAUAGGAGCUGCGGAGUACAUUGCUGGGAUAGCAGCAUCCUACAGGUCUCGCAUGAUAAUGACUGGCGACGCGCCUGGAGCCCUAGCUAGAUGCUAGAUGCUUUGCCUAUACCUCCUAAUCGCAGCCUAAGCUGGGGCCUAAACAGUUACAGCAAAAAAACUGCUUUGCCCUUUGCGGGUCAUUGUUGUAUGUCUGCCAUCAUCCACACCAUGGGCGGACGGUCUGGAAAUGCAAAUGAUGCGCACGGGCCCGACGGGGAGGCUGAACUUGGCAUCCAUCUCUGAUCGGCCCCUCCUCUCGAUCACCGCACUCAUCGCUCAUCAUUGUUCGUAUGCCGUUGCAGCAACUGAGCAACCUCACCUCGCGCAACGGCAACGCAUCAGCCAGUAACCGUCGCAUCCCGGUCGUCUGCCGCGACUGAAUCCUUUGCGGAUCUGAAACUGCGCCGACGGUGACGGGAGAAUCUUGCGAGCUAUAGUGAUGAUGAUUUAUUUUGUCCUGGAUGCGAGAUUACCAGCGAAACACCAAUCCCAAUUCAGUGUUAAGAAUCUCCGAGCAAGGACAAAGCGUACACCUAGUGGUUGACGUAUCAUCGGGCUAUAGAACCUUGUGCAAGCCUACACCUGAACCUGCAUGCUGCCUAGGACAGUGGUAGCUGCUAGGUUUUAAAGCUGGAGUUCGUGUUCUGGAAGCAAGACGAUAGCAGGAGGACCCUCGGUACAGUGGAUGCAGGGAGCAGUGCUUCCUGUUCAUGGUGGACAUGCAUGAAGUGAUGCAGAGUCGUAAUCUUCGUAUGUUCCCAUCGUUUUCGUUGUCCCGUUCGUCAUCUGCUUUCAGUUGUACCAGAAUUGCGAGCGAGGAAGAGGGGUAGAUGACGAUGAUGAUGCAGAGGCUGGUCCAGGCAGGCGUCCAGCCAAGGCAAUUGUUCUGCAUCAUGAUAGACAAAAAGAGGCAUACAUGGAGCAUACUAUGUGCUCCAAUACUUGGCUUUGAAGGUUAGGAAAACACGCUCCUUCCGUUGGUUCUUUUCAUAUGGCCACGUGGAGGAUUUGUGUGGCGAAUGAGGGAUCAGUUGGUUACGGCAGUCGUUAAAAUCCAUCAUCUGACGGGCGCCAUGAUUCAGAAUUUCAGAUUCUCAAAUGAUGCGGCAGCCGGUAGGACAGAGCAGCUGAACUCUUGAGGGCUGAUUCAGGAUGUCCCCACGCGCACAGGAUGUCUCUGAUGCUGAAAGAAAAGCCUAGGAUUUACUUUAGAUGAGCACUUGCUGCCGGAGUCAGAUGAGGUGAGAACUGUCAUGUAGGUUCAGCUCUAGCAUUUUAUUACUGUAGGUCGUUUUAGCUUUUGUAGGUGCAUAUAUGCAUAAUAAUAUCUAUGCAUCUACAAAAGCUAAAACGACAAGGAGUAGCUACUAUAACUAGAUCUAGUUCUAAGGCAAGACGACAACACAAAGUACACAAGAUGCAGGUGUUUUCCCUUCUUUGCUGGCCUGGCCACAGACACCGCCGUCGCAGGGUCGCAACCACUUCCUCUCGUCCUAUGUUUUUUUUAAUCUUCUUGGAAACACAUGUAGUACAGAAAUGAUGCGCAGAAGAAUUGAGCAAAGUCAAGCAGACGAUGCAGAAGCUGGUCCAUGCGAGGCAUACAUUCAGUUCUGACACGAUGAUUCAAAGAGAGCAAUACUGUGUUUAUAUACUUGGCUUCCCAGAAAAGUACCCUACGUUGUUAGUUUCGUCCCCUCUUCUCUCCCCUUUCCUUUUGGCACAAGGUUCGUCCACGGCUACGUGGAGGAUUCCAGCUCCAAGAUUUGGUCGACACAUCCAUCGAAAUGUGGUCGAGAAGUCUGAAUCUGAUGUGCGCCGUGAUCAAGAGCUUCAGAUUCUGCGAAACGAUGAGGGAACCUGUAGGAGGAGGGAUCAAGGAAAAGAUUGACCAUACGCCGCCGCAGCCCGCAGGUGACAGACCUCACAAUCUCACGAAGAUAUGACGACGCCGAUGGGGGCAAGACGGCAAGAUGCUCCUACGCACACGAAAUGUCUGUGAUUCUGACUGAAAAAGCCGACGGUGAACGAGCAGUUCUUGUCCGAGCCAGACGAGGUGACGAUUCCAACCGCCGGCAUGCUGCUUUGCAUUGCACGCCUGCCUGGCAUGUACGGCUGCAAAGCGACUUCGUACGUAGUACGUACAGAGCAAGAUAAAAGGAUCGCGAACGCGAUGGUCCCUCGUCCGUUAAACAGCUUGUACGCAAACAUUGUACUCAGCUUCCGAUGCCUCACAUCCCUGACAGAAACUUUCUCGUUUCCCUCUACGAACAGAAUCAUAAAACAUAUCACUAACCUGCUACAAAAAGGGAAAGCUAUUCUCAAAGGGACCGGAUAAUACGAAAUGAGCGACCAAGCAACGGUAACUUCCAUCUUACAAAAACCAGUAUCAAGCCUACCAUUGCUUCUCUUGGCUUCCUGAGGUGUGAAAACCCAUGCAUUCAUCCUCCACAACAUUUCUUUUACUUUUAGAUGUCUUCCAUAACUUCACACAAACUUUCAGCGUUCCUCUAGUUUCAACAGAAACAACCGCCGUAAAAAGCUCGAUCUCGCCAUCACCAGUAACGAGCACUUUGUCACCUCUAGAAUCAAGCAAGACGAUUUUCUGGCGAUCAAUACUUCUGGAAUCCUUGUCACGAACUCCAGUGGUGCUAAAUGCAGCAAAUUGGCCGGAACGACUGUCUGGACAGGAACCAUCAAUGACACGCACAAAUAUUGUAGCCUCCACAGAGUCAACAAUAUGGCCAAGUGUAAACUCCAAAGUGCUAAGCUUGCUAGGUUUAUAACGACGAAACAGGUCUGGAUAUCUCACAUGACGGCCAAAUAAUGGGUCAGCUAGAAAGCUCAAAUCUUUAUCCUCAGAUUCAGUAGCGCCCUUCAAUGUCAGCUUAACCUCGAUGGUGACAUGAGUUGGCCACACAAUAGCACGGGUUGGACCUGUCAGUACUAAAUAUCGAUCCUGCAUACAAGACCACAAAUAAAUAAUGGUACACAGGAGAGAAUGGUGAGGUAAACAUUGGGCAGCAUAAUCAAACAAAAGGAACACGUGUGUGGCAUGAAUGAUGUAGAUUGCACAGCGCAAAAGAUUGGAGAAAUAUAUUAGAACUAGUGAAAAAAAGCAAUAGGAUAUCUGCUGUUCGACAAACAAUCAGACGUCAUUGAAGGUGGUUUGCCAAUGCCUUGCAAACAAACCUGAAACAGCCAGAAACUAUUAAGGCAGUGUUCCUAAGCGUGCAUUCCGAACCAGACGAGAAGUUAAAGGCAGUCUUCCCCAGGCUCCCCACUAUACUAGACAUUUGACAACAUGCAUCUACUCCCUUAUCUCCAUAUUAGGGAGGCAAGAACUUCAGCCAAUGUGCUGAAUCAGUAAUUAUUCGAGCCCAACGCAUAUGCUUCGGUUUGGUAACUAGUGGAAUCUGACUUUGUGUUCUGCUAGGAACUUUAUUUCCACGUGCUAGGAAACGGUUUAUUUGCACAUCAUAUAUACAUGCCUUGCAGACCCAAAGACAUAUGAUCAGUUUUUAUUAUAUUAUGCCAGUCAUAUGUUCUCCUCACAUGCCAGAUUGAGCUGUCAAUCGACAUGAUUGUAUAAUGCGAGCAAAAGGAAUGCCAAUUCUGUGUGCAUGUGAGACAUGAUAAUUUCUAGGAAACAAUGAAAUCUGAUCAAGGUAUACAUCGAGCUCUCCUCUGCUCAUUAAAAGUGGUCAUUUUUUGGAAAUUGCUCAGUGCAGCGAAAAUGCGAAACCACAGGAGAAAAGAUGCCGUGUUAAUUAACUCCACACAUGCCUGCAUGGUAAUAGCAAUUAGGAAGUGCACACAGGUGCAUCGGAAUGUUCUUGGAUAAUUAAGAUAGCUGCAUUCGGCAGCACACCAGGAUCCAAAUAAAACGAUGAAUGAUAAGUGAGAAAUCUUAAUACCUUUUCGGUGAGGGUUUGGCAGUUGUUCCUCGUGAGGUUGAAGAUAAUAUUGCGAUUCUUGUCGAUGCAGUCACGUACGGCGACAAAACCAAACACAUCCAGUGGCUACUGUAAGCUCCUUUUUAUUCCCGCAACCUUGACUGAGAAGACCUGUAGAGUGCCAAUUGGGAACGCAGUGUAACCAGGUGCGGGCUCGUCUGUAAAACGCAUGGGGCCGAACCUCGCUGCAGUAGUUGUAGGAGAUAUCAAAUGAGUUAAGAUUGAUUACAUAGCAGCGUCACUAGUAACAACAACAGUGACGCUAAUUAGCAUGUGCAGGGAUCACAUCAGAGCUAGCAGAGAACCAAUCCUAUACGAAAGAUUGCUUAGCUGAGAACCAGUCCUAAUUACGGUGCAGAUAUGGAUGACUUGUGAAAACUUACUGGUGUCAUCAAAUGAACCGUAGGAAGCAGAAUAUUGAGCUGUCCACUCGUCGCGAAACUGGCUAGCCACCCAGGCUUCAUAGUCCGAUCUUUUCAGCUCUGUAUCCUCCUCCUUUGGUUCCUCCACCUUCCUCUCACCCGCGCAACCAAAUUCCACCUUCAAACGCUCCCUCAUCGCCUCGUCACCCAACUGCGCCAUCCUCACCCGCCACAAUGCGGUUCCUUCGUUUUCCCCCCGCAUACCAAGAAUAUCCGCAACCUCCACUCCCAAGAUGGUGAAGGGAUCAUGAUAAUUAAUAUUCUUGUCGUGAGGUCCUUCCUUCCCCAAAGGAUGCUCUUCCUCCACAGAAGGCACCAAGGUUUUGUUUUCCUCUUCCACAAUCGACCUCAUAAUAUAUUUUGCCAACGAGAAGGCAAUUGAGUCAAUUUUCUCCUCAUCACAGUCAGUCGUUUUCUCGGCGAGUUCCUCCUCCGAUGCUUCCCCUUCACCCACAGAAGGCCCCAACGAGCCUUCCUCUUCUCUCCCGCAGAAGGUGCCAACGCCCCGUUUUUCUUAGAGCAACUCGAGCAAAUCCUCUAAAUAACUCCCUACUCGAAGUUUAGAGGGUCAAGUAAAAAAAAUGCACUCCAGCAGACCCUCUACUCCACUCCAGCUCCAAUUCCGACUAGAGACAGUGAGAUGCUUGCAAAUGUGUGGCCUCGCGUCAAGGAUUCUUGCUUGCAUAAUGGCAAAAGAAAGCUAAUAAGUAGAUCUUGGUUUCCCCUUUUCACCAAAAGUGAAGUCCAUAUCUAACUCUAUAGACUUCUAACAAGAUCACAUUUUUGCUAAAAUAAAUCCUCAAAGGCUCGUCCAACCUGUUCUUCGCAGUAAAAUUCACAAUUCACGUCUAUAUUCAGCGUUCAGUCACAAUGUCAACUCUUACUUCUGAAGCUUCGGCUUCUCACUUCUCAGGCUACGCGGUUCUGCCUGCCUCUCGCCCUGAAGACCGCGUGUGGUGCUGAAUCGGGCGUCGUUGUGAUGGGCCUUUUGGGCUCGGCGGCCUCGGAAGCGCGUGGUCGUCCUCUUUCUAUCCUAAGGCCUUUUGGGCUCGGCGGCACGGCGCUUCCUCCCGCCUGCCGGCGUCGCGGCCUCGACAACGCGGCGACUAAGGGCGAAUCGGCGAUGCCUCGAACCAUCUCCCAGCAAUUGUGCGAAUUCGCUUGCUUGGCCCCCUGCUCGAGUUGCCUGCCUGCCCGUGCCGCCGUCCCGCCCGCGCCUUGGCCAUGGGCCCAUGGCUCGGUGGAUGCAGCGCCACCGCGCCGACGAGCGGAGUACAUGGACGCCGUGGGCUCAGUUGUAAGUUGUAACGGGAAGAGGUACCUCAUCUUCAGUUACGUCGUACGGUACAACCUGUGCCGCUCGAGUCGAGUCUGGGCGAUGUGCAAACUACGAUUGCUACGUCCUGGCCUGUGCAAACACCGGAACGAUCAACCUCGAACGUUGUCCAGUGGGUGUCCAAGAAGGCGAGAAGCGAGCAGCCUAUUAGUAGACCAACCAGUUUCCAACGUAAUGUUAUGAAUUCUACCAAAAUUGCAAAAUUGCUGAAAACUAUGGUUGCUUUAAAGCUUUUUUGGGAAAAUAAGAAAAAACGAAAUGUGGGUACCCGAGCCGUAUUGAGCCGAGCAAUAACACGCCGAGUUACCCAAGAAAGGAGACGAGUGACCAUGCAACAGUAACUUCCAUCUUGCAAAAACCAGCAUCAAGCAAACCAAAGCUUCUAUUGGCUUCCUUGGGUUCGAAAAUCAAUUCAUCUUUCACGGCAUUUUUAACAGAUUUCGAGACCUCCCAAGCCUUGACGCAAACCCUCAGCUUCCCAGUAGUCUCAACAGAAACAGCACGCCGUGAAAGUAUGAUCCCGCCUUCACCGGCAACAGGCACAUUCCCGCUUCCGGAAUCGAGCAAGAUGAUCCUCUUGUGAUCAACGCUGUCGACUCCCUUUCGACGAAUGCCAGUGGCAAAGGCAGCAAGUUGGGCACGAAAACCAUCCGGCCAUGACCCAUCACUGACUCGCACAAAUAUUGUGGCCUCCACGGAGCCAAGGAUAUGACCAAGUGUAAGCUUCAAUGUGCUAAGCUUGCUAGUGUUGUAACGAUAAAUCUGGCGUGAGUUCGUCGCAUGACCACAUACAAUUGGCACAACUGGAAAGCUUAAGUCUUUAUCCUCGGAUUCGGUAGCCCCCUUCACUAUCAGCUUAACCUCGAUUGUCAGAUAAUCCAUCCACAGAAUAGCACGGGUCGGACCUUCCAGUGCUAAAAUCCGAUCCUGCAUGCAACACCAUUUAUAUUUAAUAAAUAAACAAGAGGUAUGCUGCCCGGAGUGAAGGAAGAUAACGACAUCGAGCAGCAUAAUCUACAAUCAACACAAAAUAAUACGGUCCGUCCGAAAUUACUGUUCGUUUUGUCAUACAUAAUUUUACAUAUACACCUAGAUAUAUAUUAUAUCUAAAGAUACGUAGAAAAAGUUAUGUAUCUAGAAAAGUUAAAACGAAUUGUAAUUUGGGAUGGAGGGAGUACUAAAAAGGCACCACAAACAACAGGAGACAUGCAGUGCUGUACUGCUGCGAACCUCUUAGGUGAGGGUUUGGCAAUUGUCCCUUGUGCGGCUGAAGAUAACAUUGAAGUCGAUGGUGUCACGAACUGCGACAAUACCGAACACAUCGAUCGGCCACUGCAAUCUCCUUAUUCCUUCAACCUUGACUGAGAAUACCUGCAGAGUGUCGACGGAAAAGGCACUGUAACGUGGUGCGGGCUCAUCUGUAAAUCGCAUGGGACCGAGCUUCGCUGCGCAUAGUUGGGGGAGAUUUCAAGUGAGUAAAGAUGGAGUACAGCAGCAGCAGAAAUAAUAAUAACUACAACGACGGUGAAACAAAUUAGCAUGUUCAGGGAUCACAUAAUUAACAGCCAUAGUAAUAUACUGGUUCAAGCUUUGAUCCUACCACAGCUAUUUAUCUUAUUGCUGCUUCGGAUUACUGACAGAGAACAUAUUUCCUGGUUAUCAGUUACUGAUGGGAGAUACAAAAGAUUGCUGAGAACAGAUGAGGGAAGCGAAGCCUGUCCUAGGACGUUUGGAUAACAGGGGCUAAACUUUGGCUCGGAUAAAUAUGAGUUAAUUAUAAAACUAAUAGCAGAACCUCUAGGCUAAAUCACGAGACGAAUCUAUUAAACCUAAUUAUUCCAUCAUUAGCGAAUGGUUACUAUAGCAUCACAUUGUCAAAUCAUGAACUAAUUAGGCUUAAUUGAUUCGUCUCGCGAUUUAGCCUAAGGGUUGUGCAAUUAAUUUUAUAAUUAACCUAUGUUUAAUACUUCCAAACACUCGAUGCGACUUCCAAACACCCUCUUAGUUAGUUUGGCAGACCGUUUCCUCACCGGUUCCUUGCCUUUGGAAGCCCGACCUUCGGCCCGGUAUAGCCAAUUUUCCACGCGGAAACUGGCCGGCCUCCAUACGUCCGGCAGCACUCCCCGUCUCACUCGACUCGACGCCCCCGCAUCGUCGCCCGACUCGUCCCUCCGUGGUUCAAAUGAACUCAAUGGAGGAGUAAGAACUCACUGGUGUCUUUAAAUGAACCAUGAUUGCGGGACCAAACCUUCAUCCAGUCAUCGCGAUAGAAGCUAACCAUGUAGGCUUCAUAGUCUGACUGCUGCAUCGUCUCCGCCUCCGCUUGUUUCGUCAUCGGAUCACACGAGAGGAACAGGCGAGAUUCAGAUCCACCGAAACGGAUUCGUGAUCACGCCGCGAUCACGGAUUGAAGGUCUGACGAUGUAUAACCAACAAAAGAAGAUGGGAUCGACAAAAAUAGGGUUAGCUUUGCUCGACGGGGAAAAGAAAUCCGCGAUGGCAACAGGGGCUGGGACGGCGCCCUGGCUUUUAUUUAUGUGGCACACGCAGGCCCGCCCCCCGCUGGACGUGACCUGACCAAAAUCAGCCAGGAAAAAAAAGAUCCCCCAACCCGCGCGCGCCGCUCGCUGCUCGACUGUACCCUCUUCUGCUAAUCUGCUUCAUUAUGCAGCGCCGCCGCCAUCAACGAUUUUGACCGCCGGCGCCGCUCAAGUUGACGGCGGGCCCAAGCAAAAUGGAUAAAGGGGUGUUUGGAUACGAGGUGUCAGAUAUUAAUUAGAGGACUAAACAUGAGCUAAUUACAAAACUAAUUGCAUAGAUGGAGUCUAAUUUGCGAGACGAAUCUAUUAAGGCUAAUUAAUCCAUUAUUAGCAAAUGGCUACUGUAGCACCACAUUAUAAAAUCAUGGACCAAUUAAACUUAAUAGAUCCGUCUCGCGAAUUAGACUCCAUCUCUGCAAUUAGUUUUGUAAUUAGAUUAUAUUUAAUAUUUCUAAUUAGUAUCAAAUAUCCGAUAUAAUAUGUGCUAAAGUUUAGCAGAGAUCUCAGCCUUACGGCCCAACUUGCCCGUGGGCUGCUGUAUCCUGGGUCCACUGCACACGUUGCUUUCCUCUUCUUGCGCAUUACCUUAAUUCUACUAGUUUCGAGCCACUUCGAUGCCUUUUCUGCAGUUCUGCCAGCGGCUGAGUCGUUGCUCGUUGGAUGUCUUGUAUUUCAGGAGCUCUUCUGCAGGCGGUUGAGUCGUUGGAUACCUUAUUUCAGGACGGAGAGAAUCCUUUUAUUAAGAAGCCUUAAUGGAGCAAUGACCACGCCAUUUAUGUUCUCUUCUUAUUUUCUUAUAACGCUCACAUUAUACGAAAAUGAGACCUAUUUUCUUAUAAACGCUCAGCUUAUACGAAAAUGUGAAAUACACGGUAACAAAAGGUGACCUGGUCUUGCGUAAUCUAAGCCAAUGGUCGUGCACACUUUUGAGUGGAAUUGUUUCUUUCCCAUAGGUUAACAAGUGAUUGCAUACCUUCCUUCUAUCCCCUUUUCUUUCUUCUGUUUUGAAGUCAACAAAUAAAUUCGGGCAACCCCAGGGUUGCCGUCGCUUCCCUCAAAAAAAUCUUAGGAAAAUUAAGACGAACAAAACUGGAAGAGUAACCGUCACCUCCGUCAAACUGUUGACAUCUGGAGCUUGAACCGGAAACACCAGAAACAGAAACAGAAAGUACAAAGCUCACGCUCACGGGGGGAAAUCCGACAGGCAACAUGAUGAAAUUCAACCAUUCCAAACCAAUUUAUUGAUACUAAGCAGAGGGCAUAAAACCAUAGAAAAUACAGGGUCCCAAAUGUAACCACAGAUAAUGAUCCAGAUACGAUGCCACACCCAGCAAUCACUGCACUUGAGUUUACUACAGCAAAAGCCAGCUCAAGCUAGGGCGAAUGUCUCGGUACCAAUCUUUCGUCGCCAUACACGUCUUUUUCGAUUUCAAUUUUCAGAUACAACUGUUCCCUCUCUUCAAAGGCCGGCCUUCUUUAGGGAAGUUACUUGGGGCCAACAUCCUUCAGGGCACAGAUCUGCUCCUCCCCCAUGGCAGACUGGACAGUCACCACAAGAUCCUUUCCCCCGUCAAAUCCUUCCUUGAUCUGAUUAGAUGGAGUAAGCAUUUUUGGACAAUCUUAGAACAUGAUAAAAUAUUUCAACAUUUGUUAAAAUCACAGAACAGGCAUGCAAGAGUGCAAUGACAAUAAUUCAAAUAAACGCAACUUAUGGCAACCAAGUUGGAUCCUUACAAGAAAAAUAAAGCGAAUGUGAAAUCCACCUCUUGUUCUAUCUGCUUUCAUGCAAAAUCUAUUAACAAGAUUCUAUGGAAGAGGGCUACCAAAAUAGACUGAUAUAUUACGAGAUAGACUGAAAUAUACAUAACGAUUGACUGAAACAUACACAAUGAUUAUAAAAUGGUUUACUAUUUUCCAGAAAAAAACGUUGAGAUAGAAAUAGGUAACUAAGAUGGAGAGUUUCUCAAAAUACCUGACCCAGGAGAGUCUCAUCAGUUGGGAGUCUAAGAUCAUCCUUGGUGUUGCCAUCAGAAGUAAGAAGGCUCACCUGAAAGUAAUUGAGAUAACUGAUAAAUAUCAAAUCUAACAUUUAACCGAAAAGAGAGGUACUUCGGCUGAUUGGAAGAACAUACAAAUCCAUCCUCUGAUAUGUCAAUCAGCUGAUACUCAGUGCGGUUCACGUGUGGCACCUAAGAGGAGUUGAAACAGUGAGUCAAUUAUGAAGUAAAUCAUAGAAAGGUAGUUAAACAGGCAGAGAUAUUUUAACUUACAUCACAGUUGUGUGAAGACGGAACAAUAUCUUCAAGUUUUUUCCCAUUGAAUAUGUCUAUGGCAACAAAGUGGCACUUAGCAUGACCGUGCUUACCGGUCUUUGAGGUAGAAACCUCCACCACCUGCAGCAUAACUUUAUUUAUCAACCAUGUUCGAUAAAUGAAACAAAAUCCCGACAAAACUAUGAUGCUACUUAAGAGCAUGGGAAAUGCCAAAUAGUUUCGGACAACUUCAUCAUUGCAUUGCUGAUAUCACUGAACCCAUCAAAGACUCGGUAAUAUAAACAAAGACAGUAGGGAACAUAGAAGGACAUGGAUUUUAUCAUCACCUUAUAAGAAUGCAGUGAACCACUAAAAUAGUGUACAACAAGCUAACUAGACUGGGAAAAGCUUUGGCAGCUUUAGACUUAUCACUAAAUGGAUCAGGUAUAUCUGUACGAGGCAAUUUGUCCAUUCUAACACAGGUAUAGAUCUCCAAAAGAAAAUUAUAGAAUUGGAAGUAUAAGAUCUCCAUCCUAUUCAUUGCAAACAUUUUAAUCACAAAGUGCAAUGUCAUAUAUCCAAUGUGGAGGCAAAUCCACCCCUGUCCAAUGAGAUGUAGGAAUGAAUGCAAGUUACCUUUUGUUCCAAGCUAACUUUUCAAACUCAUGAAUAAACUCCUUAAUAAAGUCAGCAAAGUCAUGUUUACCACUAUGCCCAGAUUGACUACCAAAAUGAUAAGCAUAUUCUGAGCAAGCUUAGUUGUCUAGGACAAGGCGUAGUUAUCACUCGGGUGACAAAUAGGCCAAAAACUACUCUUUGUAAUGGACUUAAACAAACAGGCUGUGCAUGAAGUAACUUCCCGUUUGUCUAGAUCACUGUAUAGAUGAUCAAAAUCAAACUUAUUGGUGAGGGCAAACUGGUACAGACCUGCUAACAACCAAGUGUAAAGAAUGAGUUCCCAUGUACGUUAUAUUUGGCUAGCUUUUGCCAAGAGUUAGUCACUGUACAUGUCAAACUAGAUUUCCCCUUAAUAAGGAAAAAAAUAACAUCCAUUUUUCGCUACGGAUUCAACUACUAAUUUGAACUGGGUGCAAUCUACAGACCAUCCCCCACUGAAGCAAACCAAAUUUAACCAUAACAAACUGCAGCUCUGCAAAGAAGAUUCAACAGAACAUACUAACUCCGGAUGGCACCCUUCACACGUGCAUCGUGUUUCUCAUCAACCAUGAUUUCCACCUUCCUCUAAGCAAUCACUAAUCAUCAAAUAUCUAGCAUCCAAAUCUACAAAUUCAAUCCCCAGACAUGAUGCCCACCAUCUGAAUAAUCAUCAGUUAUCUAGCAUCCAAUCCACAAAUUCCAUCCCCAGAGACAAGGGUCAACCGUCCAGAGAUAACAGUAACAGCAUUUAUCCCCAUCAAGACAUCAUAUAGUAUGACAGGAUACAACUUCAGCCAGUUCAACCACACAACCCCGCGCAUCUAGAUAUAAUCGCAGGACUAGAGUACUCGAGCCCAGAUCGAAGCGCAUAUAUACCUUGCAGGGGCGGCCCUUGAUGACGAUGAAGCCGUUCUUGCGGAUGGUGCCGGCCUGCUGCGGGUAGGUCUUGGACGCCCCAGCGUCGGCCUUCGACUCGAAGUGGUGCUCCUCGGAGUCCGACAUGGCUACCCCUGCAACAAACCCCAAACAAGAUCCGAGAAUU
rnacentral:lncRNA from 1 species